rnacentral:lncRNA from 1 species
AAUAUUACACGUGGCUAUCAAUUAAUUAAAUUAGUUAAAUUUCUUAUCCACAAAGUAACAAUCUCGUAGCUCUUAAAGGGACAUAAUCGUCUAGAAAAAUCCAUUGAAUGUCAGGUAUAAUACCUAACAAAAAAUAAACGUGAAACGUGGCUGUGUUUGACUGUUAGUAAAUUGUACGUUACAGUAUUUCCGACAUUUACAUCUAUAAAUUAACAUAUCCUUGCAAAUUUAGCCAUACACUUGUGGAUAACAACAUUGAGAUCAUUUCAUAUUAGAAAUCAGGCAAAAAGAUGCAUAACCCUCCACCACCCGAUCCCCACCACCACCACCAACCGCCACCACAACAUCAGCCACCGCCUCCUGGUCCUCCACACCAUGAACCUCAUCCUCCUCAUGGCCAUGCUCCUCCACCAGGUCCUCAUGCACCACCAGGAGGUCCUCCCGAGCCACAAAAGCCAGGACCGCCGCAUCAUCAUCAUCAUCCUUGAGUAAUUAUCACGUGGAGAGUUGCAGAAUCGAAAGCUACGAGUAGACAUAUUAUCAAUAAUCAUGUGAUUAUUGUUUGCUUUAGUAAUUAACUAUCUUGUAGCUACUAAAGGUGACUCUCAUGUGAGGAGAUCCUGAGAUCCUGGUGUUAUGUUCAUUAUAAUCAUAAUAAAAUGAGUAAUAAUUAAAUAAUGUAUUUUAUAAUAUGUUUUUUUAGCUGCUUAUCUUAGUAUAUUUAUAUAAAAAAAUAACCACAUUAAUUAAAAAUGAGCAGCGGAAUAUUUUGGAGAGCAAUCAAAAGUUUACGCUUGAGAUUAUAAGCCUAAUAAUUAUUCCCAUGCGUUUUUAUGUCAUAAACAAACAACAAUGGAGAUCCACUUGUCAACUUGAGCUGCUGCUAUAAUUUUCGACAAAUAAUUACACGCUCCAAAAUAUUUUUUUAUUUUUUGUAGUUACUUACUCUAUUCCUGAUUUUAUGGGCGAAUAUGUUCGAUGGAAUAAUUUUUUAUAUGUAUUAUCACAUCUCCAAGGAUUAGGUGCUUUAUCCGUUUUUGGUUUCAUUACUUGUUGCUUUGUCUGGUUAAAAAAUACCGCUUGGUGGGCCAGGAAUGUCCGACAAAGAUUUUUUCUUAACAUAAGUAUGUUGAUAUUAGAUAAAAAUAUUAAGUUAACUUCAAUAAUUUCCACUUCGGACAAUUAGCAAUAAUUUUUCUGUGGACUUCUGGAAAUCUCUUUCAUGUAGCUUGGCAAGGAAAUUUUGAAGCAUGGGUAAAGUAUCUAUCGCUUGGAAUUCAAAUUUAAUCUCUUUUUCUUGUGUCGAAGACUAGGAAGACGAAUAAAAUCCAAUAGUAGAAAAAUAGAAAAAAAAAUAAGAUUAUGUAAAAUAAUGCAAAACAAAAUAAAAUUUAUAUAAUAGAUAAAAUAAUAUAAUAGAAUAUAAGAUAUUAGAAUAUAGAAUAUUAGAAGAAAAAACAACGGGUACACUGAUCAGUAAGAUUGAUGAGAGCUAUUUUAAAGAGAGUAAUUGCCGAUAAUUAAUUAAUGUGAGAGAGAUAGCAUUAAUAUUUUCUGUGCGUUUUUAACUAUGAAACUAGCCAAUAAAAUCCUCGUAUAAUCUUAUUAGGAUAAACAUAACAAAUUCAAUGUAGUUGAAAAUAUAUAUAUAGUAGUAUUUUUUUAAAAAAUUUCAAGUGAUAAAAGAGAAGAUAAAAUAUGAAAUAAAAUUGAUUUUAAUGCCACUCCCAAAUGAACUUAUGACUCUUAUCAUUAUUUUUACUUUAAAAAAAAAAAUUUCUAGCACUACUAGAUAAUUAAUUGGCCUAAAUUUAAUUUCGGAAUUAUAACUUUCAAUGUAUAUAUAUUUCCAAGUUAAGCUUGGCAAUGGAUUAAAUUAUUUAGUCUUAUUUUUUCAGGCUUAGUAUGGAGGAACCUGUAACUAUGUGGGGGGAAAAUAUCUGUAGGAAUAGACCAAUCAUUUUCGGACAUGAAGACACACAUUAAAUCAAGUUAAUGGAACCUUCCCUAAAGCCUAAAACCACAAAUAGUGAAGUAGACAUGAGAUAGAAACGUGUCAAAGGGAUACUUUGAUCAGGGAAAAGAAAAAGAAAAAGAUAACGUCAAGGAUGGAUGAACCGUCUCCAUAUAAAUUAAUUAAUCACCAUAAAUUAUCCUUAUAAAAGAAUUUAUAUCAGCGAAUCUUAUCUCUUAAGUCUCUAUCCAGAAAUAAAAUAUAAUAAGAAAGAUAUCUUAGUCAUUAAGAUAAUCCAAAAUUGAUUUUUUUUUUUUAAAUGUUCCCACACGAAUUUCAGGGGGAAAUUUAGUUGGACGCGGUUGGACUUGUGGUUGUGAAAUGAAAAUGUUAUUUACUUAGCUUGGUCCUUUCAACCUCAAAUAUAUAUACAUAUAUUUGAGAAUUCAAGAAUAGAAGAAGAAGAAGCAGAAAAAGAAGAAAGAAGAAGAUGCACAACCAUCCACCGCAUCACCACGGACCGCCACACCACGAGCCAGCUCCACCACACCACCAUGGACCACCACACCAUGGACCGCCUCCUCCUCAUGGACCACCACACCAUGGACCUCCUGCUCCUCCUCCUCCUCAUCAUCACCAUGGGCCUCCACCUCAUGGCCCCCAUCCACCUCCACCAGGACCCCCUGGUCCUCACCACCAUCCACCACAUCACCACCACUGCUGACUACAAUUAAUCAUAUUUAUAUUUUGUGAUUUGGGGCUAGCUUGGGCAGUCUUGCUGUUUAAAGGGUGAUUAUUUAUUAUUAUAACUAUUAUUAGUAUGUUGUAAUUAAUAAUAAUUGGAGCACCUUUUAUGUUAUAAUUAAGGUAGCUCUUGGUUUUUAUAUUUAGUGGAAUUUCCUUUAUUUUGUUUUUUACAUCUCUCUGCUUUGAAUUUAUAUAUUUUCCUUCCCCAAUUUCUCUUCGUAUAUAAUACUAUAAAAUUAAUUUUACAUAUUUGUGAAUCACUCAUUAUUAAGAGUAAAAUGGAAAUAAUGCUCAUAUUAACAAAAUUAACCAAAUUUUGUUGGAGAAGAUUUUUUUAUAUAUUCUGAUAUAUUUAUGGGCUACAGUAAGGAAUUUAAUAUCAUCUCUUUUCUAAUUAAAUAACCUCUAUUUUGAUGCUCAUCAAAAAGGGUAUUAGACUCCUAUUUUACUUUUUAAGCUACCAUGAUACUCAGAAUAAUAUCAAAUACAAAUGGACUAGAAUAGAUAAUUUCAUGUUAUCCUAAUAUAUAUAUAUAUAUAUAUAUAUAUAUAUAUAUGGAAUUACUUUUAGAUUUCAUUUAAAUUUAAAUUUUAAAUAAUUAUUUGCCUAAAUAAUAAAUUUAAUUGGAAUAGGUUAAAUGCAUUAAUUUAUUUGUACUUUCUUUUUUCAAACAAAUCUUAUUACCUUUAAAUUUUACUUUGACUAAUUGAAUACUUUAUACCUUAUAAAGUUGUACUAAUUAAAUAAUUUAAUUUUAAAAUUAUUAUAUUGAACAUUUCAAUUUAUAAAAUUAAAUUAAUUAAAUUUAUUAGAUAAUUGAAAAACAUAAAAAUUAUUAUUUUAAAAGUUUUAUUAAAUAAAUAUCAAAUUAAUUUUUUAUAUAUAAAAAAAAAUCUAAAAACUAUUGUUACUAAAUCGAAGAGACGUGUAAUAUUACCAAAAUUCAUAAUUAUAAGAAAAUACGGUUCCCAACAAAGUUUUAACCUUUAAAGUUUUAUAAUUAUUUUAUUGUGAAAAAGUAAAUUUAUACAUUUAAUCGUAUAAGAUGUUCUUGAUUUAUGAAAUAAUUGUUUGUUUUUAGUUGGUUAAAGUCAAAAUUAGUUAGGCAUUUGCUUUUUCACAAAAUUUAUAAUUUUCAAUGAAAAUGAUUUAAUUUAAUAAUGAGAGGGAAAAAAAUUGAAAGAAAAUGAUGAACUAUAUAUUGUAUAUUAAGUUAAUCUCAUAAAGAAAAGUUUUACAUGUUCAAAUUUAAAUAAACUAUAUAAUAUGAAGAUAAUUCUGACUCAAGACAAGAUUAAAACCUGAUACCUCUUUAUGGAUAUCUCAAAUUAUAAUCGCCGGAUUGUCUUUUAAGGAGCUUUGAUAAAAAAAUUUAACCAAGUAUUAAAUAUAUUUAACUAAAAAAAUUAUUAAUUUACACUGUUUUUUAAUUAAGAUAUGAAAAAAAAAAAAACUGAAAAACUCACAGAGACCAGAACCAUUUAAUAGACGGCCCAAGUUUAAUAAAGGCCUACUUAGAUUCCUAGUAUGGGCCUUCGUUGGAACAAACAAAACAAAUCCAAACCCGAAUAAUGAUAAUAUGGGUUGAAGAAAAAUUGAAAUCCGAAUUUUCUAGUCGGCGGGUGAAACCGAGGGAACUAGAAGAGAAAUCUCUCUCAUUUCUUGUAGUUUCUCAAGAACCCUCGAUAAACCCUCACUUCUUUUUCUGCUUAUAGUUGUUUGGAAGAAGUUAAAAUUUUCUUUCCUCUGUUCAGGUGCGUUUUAUUCUCAUCUGGGUGUAUUUUAUUUUUGUAAUUACAGCUAACAUUGUGUGCUUUCAUGAAUUUUAUUUCUGAUUUUUACUAGGUAUAAGUUUGAACUAGGAUUCACCUACUGUUUAGGCUUAAAUUGAGAAAACAAAUCUCAAAGCUUUAAUGAAGCAAGUAAAAAUGAAAAAAUCUGAAAGUUUGUUUUUUUUCUCAUUUAGUUGGUUGUGAGCUUUAUUGUAACUGGAUUUUUGAUUCCUGUUACCUUUUAAUAGGUUCUGAUUGGUUAAAUUUAUUCGGCAGAUUUGAAACAACAUGGAUGAUAAUCUUUAUGAUGAGUUUGGCAACUACAUUGGUCCUGAAAUUGAGUCAGACCAAGAGAGUGACGGAGAGGAGGAAGAUGAAGAACUUCCAGAUAAACCUCAUGAAGAUGAGAUGGCAUCCGACGGUGAGGAGGGAAUGAAUGGUUCCAACGGAUGGGUUACUACUGUUAAUGAUGUUGAUAUGGAUAAUCAGAUUGUUCUUGCUGAGGAUAAGAAGUAUUACCCUACCGCAGAAGAGGUUUAUGGUGAAGAUGUUGAAGCUUUGGUUAUGGAUGAAGAUGAGCAGCCUCUCGAGCAACCUAUAAUUAAACCUGUUAGGAAUAUUAAGUUUGAGGUUGGGGUUAAGGAUUCUUCUACUUAUGUGUCCAGCCAGUUUCUUGUCGGUCUCAUGUCGAAUCCUUCUUUAGUUCGUAAUGUUGCUCUUGUUGGUCACUUACAACAUGGGAAGACAAUGUUCAUGGAUAUGUUGGUUGAGCAAACACAUCAUAUGCCGACUUUUGAUACAAAUAGUGAGAAGCAUAUGAGGUAUACUGAUACAAGGAUUGAUGAGCAAGAAAGAAAGAUAUCCAUUAAGGCAGUUCCAAUGUCACUUGUUCUUGAAGAUAGCAAUUCAAAAUCAUACCUAUGUAACAUCAUGGACACCCCUGGUCAUGUCAACUUCUCUGAUGAAAUGACUGCUGCUCUAAGGCUUGCUGAUGGUGCUGUGUUAAUUGUGGAUGCGGCUGAAGGAGUUAUGGUAAGAAAAUAUUGAAACUUCUACAUAACAGAUAAAUAACCAGAUUGUGCUUCAGUUUUGCUUAUGCUUCUGCUGAUAAAUAUGUUAACUCAUUAUGCUCAUAUAUGAAUUUCCUUAAGUAGUGUUCUUAACUAUUUUACUGCUAAUUUUAUGCGUGUAUGGGUAAUUGUGCAGAGGUGAAUUUUAAGAUGGUUUGGUUUAUACUUGGGUUCAUUUCAGUUGUAAGGGAAUAAGUUGUUGAAUCUAAGAUGUUAUUUCUAUGAUAAAAUUUAUGGUUUCUGAAUGGUAUAUCUGCAUGGUAUGGUAACUUUUGGUAUUUUGAGCAUGCAGGUGAACACUGAGCGGGCCAUACGCCAUGCAAUCCAGGAGCGCCUGCCAAUUGUAGUUGUGAUCAAUAAGGUAAGCUCGGUGAACUGCUGUCCUCUCGACUCUUCCAAUUUGAUUUUGAAGUCUUAUUGUUGCUUAUUUAAUUUUGCAUUUAAGGUUGAUCGGCUGAUAACAGAACUUAAGUUGCCCCCAAAGGAUGCUUACCAUAAGCUUAGGCAUACUCUAGAAGUCAUCAAUAACCACAUAACAGCUGUCUCUUCAACUGCUGGAAAUGUUCAAGUUAUAGAUCCAGCUGCUGGAAAUGUUUGCUUUGCAAGUGCUACAGCAGGAUGGUCCUUCACUUUGCAAUCAUUUGCUAAACUAUAUCUCAAACUCCAUGGUAUCCCAUUUGAUGCUGACAAAUUUGCAUCUCGUCUUUGGGGAGAUAUGUAUUAUCAUCCAGAUAUCAGGGCUUUCAAGAAGAAACCCCCUACAAGUGGAGGAGAAAGAUCAUUUGUUCAAUUUGUGUUGGAGCCCCUCUACAAAAUAUAUAGUCAAGUGAUUGGAGAACAUAAGAAGAGUGUUGAGUCUACUCUUGCCGAGCUUGGUGUUGUUCUUCCUAAUGCAGCAUAUAAAUUAAAUGUUAGGCCUUUGCUAAGGCUUGCAUGUAGCAGAGUUUUUGGUUCAGCCUCUGGCUUCACUGAUAUGUUGGUUCAGCAUAUACCUUCUGCAAAGAAUGCUGCUGCUAAGAAGGUUGAUCAUAUAUAUACAGGGCCUAAAGAUUCUAUGAAUUACAAGGCCAUGGUAGAUUGUGAUCCUUCUGGCCCCUUAAUGGUCAACGUGACCAAACUGUAUCCCAAGUCCGAUUGCAGUUCCUUUGAUGCUUUUGGUAGGGUGUAUAGUGGUCAAAUUAUGACUGGACAGUCUGUGAAGGUAUUAGGAGAAGGCUACUCACCCGAUGAUGAGGAGGAUAUGACUAUAAAAGAAGUGACAAAACUGUGGGUAUAUCAAGCUCGGUAUAGAUUACCCAUAAGUAUGGCACCUCCUGGCUCUUGGGUCCUCAUUGAAGGUGUGGAUGCUUCAAUUAUGAAAACUGCAACACUUUGUAAUGUGAAUUAUAGUUCAGAAGAUGUUUACAUAUUCCGGCCUCUCCAGUUCAAUACUCUUCCGGUGGUGAAAACUGCUACUGAGCCUCUGAAUCCAAGUGAGUUACCAAAAAUGGUUGAGGGUCUUAGGAAGAUCAGUAAGAGUUAUCCUUUAGCCAUUACGAAAGUUGAGGAGUCUGGGGAGCAUACUAUUCUAGGCACUGGAGAGUUAUACUUGGAUUCUAUUAUGAAAGACCUUAGAGAGCUCUACUCUGAAGUGGAAGUCAAGGUAUGCGUUUCUCAUCUCUCAUUAUUUAAUGUACUUUUAAUAUACUUCUCCUCUGAGCCAGUCCCCAGUGCUCCCACUUUCUUCUUUCUCCUCCCCCUCUCUCUCUAUGUUAUUUUACUUUGUUUAUUUUUUUUGUGAUGCUGCAUGUUGAUAAACAUGCUUUUCAUUUAUCCCAAUGCUUCUUUCUGAUAUAGGUCGCAGAUCCUGUUGUUUCAUUUUGUGAAACUGUGGUGGAGUCUUCAUCAAUGAAAUGUUUUGCUGAAACACCCAACAAGAAGAAUAAAAUAACCAUGGUAAGGAAGUCAUUCUUAUUUUAUUUUAUCUUGGUGCAUUUUGAGAAUCUGUCUCUCUGCAUUGAAGCAAUCGUAGUUAAUUAGUUUAUGAGAUUAUUUGAACACCUGCAUUUCUAGAUUGCAGAGCCAUUGGAGAAAGGGCUGGCAGAAGACAUUGAAAAUGGUGUUGUUAGUAUUGAUUGGAACCGCAAAGCUCUUGGUGACUUCUUCAAGACAAAAUAUGACUGGGAUUUGCUAGCAGCACGAUCCAUUUGGGCAUUCGGCCCUGACAAGCAGGUAGCUUAGGUGCUUUGUAUGAUAAAACCAGCUGCUAUUUGUUUCUAGAUGAAAUACCCAACUAUGCUGUUUGCAUUUGACAAAUUUGAUUUCUGCAGGGACCUAACAUUUUAUUGGAUGACACACUUCCAACUGAAGUUGACAAAGGAUUGCUGGGUGCUGUCAAGGAUUCCAUAGUUCAAGGGUUAGCUGAAAUUUAUUCCAACUAAUCCUUGUUGUAAUAAUUUAAUGCCAUUAAAUGUUUUAUGUUUUUUUGGUCAGUUUUCAGUGGGGUGCACGAGAAGGUCCAUUGUGUGAUGAACCUAUCAGAAAUGUCAAGUUCAAAAUAGUUGAUGCUAGAAUUGCACCAGAACCACUGCAUAGAGGAUCUGGUCAGAUUAUUCCCACAGCUAGACGUGUCGCCUAUUCGGCUUUUCUGAUGGCAACCCCACGACUCAUGGAACCUGUAUAUUAUGUGGAGGUGGGCUUUUGCUACCUUCAUAUCAAAUAUCAUGCAUAUUUAAGAAAGAGUGCAGUUGGGUAUUUGUUAUCAGACAAUAAGGAACCAUAAUAAUUGUGCAUGAGCUAUGCUCGAAAGCUUAUUUCAUGUUCAAUACUUUUCUUUAAUGCCUUCCUAAAUUCAUGAAUCAAGACUCUUUAUUGGGUUUUGCUAUUAAAUCUGUAAUGCUGUUGUUUCAGAUACAAACACCAAUCGACUGUCUCUCUGCAAUAUAUACUGUGUUAUCUCGCAGACGUGGUCAUGUUACAGCAGACGUUCCUCAGCCUGGGACUCCAGCUUAUAUUGUAAAGGUUUGAUGACUAAGCUUUGCCUGCAUCCAAAGAUUAUCGAUAAUAUUUUACAUUAGUUAUUGCUUAAAUAUUGGUGAUGACUAUAUGCUAAAAAUAUUUGGAAGCAUAAGAGGGUAUUUAUGAAAUAGCUGAGCUGCUAACAGUUAGCAGAUUUUUGGAACUGUUUUCCCCACUAUUUUUUCAAGUUUUAUGGUUCGAAUUUAGUAUUUCCCCUCUAGAGUUAGGGUGGGAAGCUUGUGUCUUUUAUUCGUAAGUCAUUAACCAGAUGAAUCAUUCUUUAGGUUUUGCAAACACACUGGUAUUGUUUCUUGGGAGUUCACAUAGAUAUUUUGCGGUUCCUUGUCUGCAUGGCUUUUGUAUAGAAACAUGCUUGGAUUUUUAUUCUAUUUCUUAUCUGUUUUUGUUUUAUAAUUGCAUUUCAGGCAUUUUUACCUGUAAUAGAGUCAUUUGGUUUUGAGACUGACUUGAGGUACCAUACUCAAGGGCAAGCAUUUUGCCUCUCAGUGUUCGAUCAUUGGGCUAUAGUCCCUGGAGACCCUCUUGACAAGAGCAUUGUUCUGCGGCCACUUGAGCCUGCACCAAUCCAGCACCUUGCUCGUGAAUUUAUGGUGAAGACAAGGCGUCGCAAGGUAUGGCAAACCCUCUUUGUGAUCCAUUUGUUAUUUCGCUAUCGAUUAUAGAGUAAUAAACAUUCAAGCAGGGAUGAUUCCCUGAAAUUCAUUAUUUUUCUUCAUGUUGCGUAUUGAUAGAACUACAUGAAAACCUAAAACUAAGGGGUAAUAUUUUUUCUUUCAAUUCUAUGUCUCAGGGAAUGAGUGAAGAUGUGAGUAUAAACAAGUUCUUUGAUGAGGCUAUGGUGGUGGAGCUGGCUCAGCAAGCAGCUGAUAUUCAUCAACAAAUGAUAUGAUGGCUAUUGUACGCGGAAUGCAACAUAAGGACAUUCUUGGAAAUUUUAUCUCGAAUUCUUUCUAUCCAAACCUGGUGUGACAUUGUCCCAUGAGCUGCUAACAAACCCCUUAAUCUCACUUCUAAUGCUCCUUAGUUGAAGUGUUUUGUAAUUUGCCCUAUAUCUAAAAAACAAGGGCACUAAAGGACCAAAAUUUUGGAUGUUUGGUUUUGUAUCACUGAUUGUCCAAGUAUAUGCGUAGUAUAGGGAAAUUUUAUGUACUUGAUGUAAUGUAUCAUUUGCAAUAUAUUUCGUGUUUUCCUUCAGUUCCUGCAAAUAUCACAUUCCAAGAUUUUGGGAAAAGUGUUUUGUUCAGCUAAUAUUGCAAUAACGAAUUGACCUGAAAAAGCAUAUAUUCCCCUGGAGGUUGCACUGGGAUUCCAUUAUAAGCAAUGAUACUUGUGCUUGGCCACCUGUUUGAAUCAAAACGACAAAACCAAACCUGAAACAGAAGUGUUCGUUUUGGUUCUCCAAGAACUGGUAUUUCCGUCUUCGGUUAUGAGCGGAACCUGUUUGAAUUUGGCAGGUUCUUCAGUUUUAUUCUACUCGUUUUUGGUUUAGAUCAAUUUCAAAUUCUGGUCUGACCAUCAAACAGAAAUACAUAAUAUUGGCCAAAUAACAGAUUAAUUCACUCUUUUUAAAUUUAAAACAAAUAAUAAAAAAUGAUGCAAUAAAAAUGACUAAACAAAGAUAUUAGUAUUAGUUUUUGAAAGGAAAAUCCUCUAAUAUAUAUUCACUUAUCCAGCAUAGUUAGAAGGAAAAUUAUGGAAAUGAAUCAUUUUUAACUGAAUAAUGCUGGAGUUCCAUAGGAAGGAAAAUACACCAAAGACGUUUGUUUAAAUAGAGUAGAAUAUUAAAAGCAAGCCUAACAAGACCUUCCAUGCUGCUCUAGUGUCAAAGUCAAUCUCAUACCUCAAAUUUGAAUCUUAUAUAUAUGGUUUCUGAAACUUUCAGACAACCUUCGUCUUUAAGUUACCACCAACCGUUUCCUUUCACCAAAUGGUAUAUUUCUUUCUUCUUUCUCUUCCGGGGUUCGGACUGUAUAUGAUUAAAAAUUGAGAUAUUUUCCGGUUCAGAUCUUGCAACCAUCAAGAAUUGUAUAUCGGUAUGCUUUUCCUCGUCUAAAUCUCACAUUUCCGCUGGAAACCUGGAUUUGAUUUUUCAAUAUUAAUUGCAUUCCAAAAAACAAUCUUGAUUCUUUAUAUACGUAUAGCGGUUGCAUUUCUUGAUGCAUUUUGUUAGGGUGUUUUAGCAUUAUAAACAUAAUGAGCUAGAACUGUGAUUUCCAAUAUCAAUCAGCAAUGGAAUCCAAAACCCUAAAUCUAGCUCCUGCUAUUUCUCUCUUCCCCUCCCUUAAACCUCCACAAAAAUCCCUGCUUUUUCACCAAAUCAGUGCUCUAAUAAUUACCUUUCUUGCCUAUGCUUCUUUCCAUGCUUCUAGAAAGCCUCCAAGCAUUGUCAAGAGCGUGCUUGGACCUUCAUUUCAAUUCAAUUCUUCAAUAAUUCAAUCCAAUUUAAAUUCCACUGAUACUGGUUGGUAUCCAUUUAAUGGUCCUGAAGGGACCCGCAGGCUUGGAGAGCUUGAUCUUGCAUUUUUAUCGUCAUAUUCGAUUGGGAUGUAUGUUGCAGGACAUGUUGGUGAUAGGAUUGAUUUGAGGUUGUUUCUUGUUUCUGGGAUGUUCGGUAGUGGUGUUCUUACUAUUAUUUUUGGCUUAGGUUAUUGGUUUAAUAUACAUUUACUAGGGUUUUUUGUAGGUGUGCAGAUUUUGUGUGGUUUGUUUCAGUCUAUAGGUUGGCCUUGUGUGGUAGCAGUAGUUGGGAACUGGUUUGGGAAAGCAAAGAGAGGAUUGAUAAUGGGGAUAUGGAAUUCACAUACCUCUGUUGGUAACAUUAUUGGGUCAGUUGUGGCUUCUAGUGUUUUGGAGUUUGGAUGGGGUUGGUCAUUUUUGGUCCCUGGAGUUCUAGUGAUUUUAGUUGGGAUUUUUGUGUUUUUGUUUCUUGUUGUUAGUCCUGGAGAUAUUGGGUUUGAGUCUUCAGAAAAGGAGAUUGAAAUGACUGUGGAGGUGGAUGGUGACGAGACUUCAGAUAAAGUAGAAUCAGAGGAAAUGGGGCUUAUUAGGGCGGAAAAUUCAGAUUCUUUAGCUGCUAUUGGAUUCUUGGAGGCUUGGAAAUUACCUGGUGUUGCGCCAUUUGCUUUGUGCCUCUUCUUUUCAAAGCUGGUGGCUUAUACUUUUUUAUAUUGGUUGCCGUUCUACAUAAGGCACACAGGUAGUUGCUUCUGCUUGAUAUGAAAGUUUUGUUAAGAAAUCAAUUUAAGGUCAUGUUGGCUGUUUAAACUUGAAUUUGUACACAACUACCUUGUUAAAGAUUCUAUGACAGGAAAUUGCUGUUACUGGUAAUCAAUUACAAAUUAACUUGAAAAUUGAGAUUUCUUUGUAUAAACUUUGUUAACCAUUUGACUUAUCUGGCUGUCUAACUUCUACAUUCAGCAUAUUUAUUGUGCAUUCAAGCCUUAAAUGUUUCAAGCACAUCCUUCAUGUUUAAGCUUGUGAUAAAAAUUAUUGAAUUCAUUUCAUGUUAGAUAUUGAUCAAAACUUUGUUGAUAUAUAGCUGUUGCUGGUGUGCAUUUGUCGCACAAAACUGCUGGAAUUCUUUCAACUAUAUUCGAUAUUGGAGGAGUAUUUGGUGGAAUUUUGGCAGGAUAUAUCUCAGACAUCAUUGAAGCUCGAGCAGUAACUUCAAUAGUAUUCUUAUCACUGUCAAUUCCGGCCUUAAUUUUGUACCGGGUUUAUGGAAGUUUAUCUAUGGUUGCCAACAUUACUUUAAUGUUUAUUUCGGGGUUGCUUGUGAAUGGCCCCUACUCGCUAAUUACUACAGCAGUUGCAGCUGAUCUUGGGACACAGGACACAAUCAAGGGAAAUUCCCGUGCCUUGGCUACUGUUACUGCAAUCAUAGACGGCACUGGUUCUGUUGGAGCUGCACUUGGUCCAUUACUGGCCGGAUAUAUUUCCACAAAAGGGUGGAAUAGUGUGUUCUUUAUGCUUAUUAUUUCUAUUUUCUUUGCGAGUUUGUUCUUGAUUCGUGUUGCGAAAUCUGAGAUUAUAGGUAAGAUGAACGAGGGAAAAUGGCCUUUGAAUGUUGCAACACCACAUUGAUAGAGGGAGUUUUCUUUAGGCAUCAUUAUUUUGUUUCUCAUAGAGAGUGAUUACCAUAGUGAAGGAAAAUAGAUGGAGAUUUGUCAGGUGCUAUACUUUGUAUGUGUAUUUUGUACCUCAUUCUUUACUGGGUCGGAUAGUUUUACAGUUUUGUUAUACCUGUACAAUAUACUAAUUCAUCAAAUGCAGAAUUAAUAUUACUUCUACUAUACGUACAAAGUUUCAGCUUUUGCAUUUCCUUUCUUUGCCCGGUUCCUCCACCGCCAAGUAUCGGUGUUUUUACUUGUUUGUGCCUGUCUAAGCAUAAAGGAUGAUGUACACAGUUCUUGUCAAGCCAUCCUUAGGUCCAUUCAAAAUGUAGACAUGGAAGAAAGGUGAAAAACUGUGCAAUUUUUAUAAAUUGUUGACAUCACUUGUUUGAAUUUUACAUUUCACUUUGUGUACACCUGUACAUCAUACAAUGGUGACGGGCCAGGAAAAGAAUGCUCUAUUUCUCGAUGGAUUUAUAUACAACAAGAAGAAAACGUCGCCGAAGCUCCCAAUUUAGCUAUUUGCCAUUAUUAACUAGUUAUACUCUUCAGGAAUUAGAUAAAGAAAAAAAACAGAGUAAACAAUCAACUUUUGAGCAUCAUCCUUGUAACAGACAUUUCAGACUUUGUAAUCCCUCAGCAGAGAUGCUCCGCCUGACUCUUGCUCUCUCUACGGUCACUUGUGGAGGUGGCUCUAAGUGAAAACUUAUCAUGACAACAGUCAAGUUGUCAGUUGCUCCGCGUCUUAUUGCUUCCUCUACCAUUUCUUUGCAGCAUAAUUUGACAUCAUUGUGCUCUUGAAGUUUUCUCCGGGCGAAAGAUACUGAAUUUUGGCUGGUAAACACAUCCCAUAUUCCAUCACUGCCAAUGAUCAAAAAUUCAUCUUCCUUUGUUAAUGUAAUCGAUUUAAGUUCUGGUUCAGCACUCAAGAGGCCACCACUUUCGCCCUUCACCUUCAUCCCUUCAAGGUGCCAAUCGCCUAAUGCACGGGUAACACCUAGUUGACCAUUCAGAUAACCAUCUUCGAUAUAUCCUCCCAGGGACUCAACCCUUGUCCUUUCCUUAACACAGCAGGGCCUGUGGUCCCUUGACAUUUCUAUAGCUGCUCCAUGCCGCGACAAAACUGCCCUGCAAUCACCAGCAUUUGCCACAAGCAAUGACCUGUUCAAGAUAAUGGCAUAUUUUCAGGCAAAGGCGGCAAUACUUUGAUGGUAUUUCUAUUGGUUCACUUUACAAAACUCACCAAGCUAUACAGUCACCAAUUACUAGCAAAUUACCAUCUUUUUUUUUUUCCCUCCCCAUUUAUUUUCUUCAUUUUUGUGCAUAUAGAUCAGCUAAAAGAGAAGGGGAAGGCUUGGGGCUUGGAACUCAAAAUACUAAAUAAACUAAAAGAAGAACCCCCAGUUAGAUUCAGACUUUUUAGUUAUUGGGAGAACCCAAGUACUCUCUUUCGGAUCCAGGAAAGAGCUCUCAGAGAUCUUUUUUCUUUUUGGAAGAUACAGGAGCGAAACAAUCAACCUAAAGUGAUAGCUAAUCUUCAAUAGAGGAAGGCAGGUACUUACCUCCCAAAUAUCAUUGCAGUAAGUGCAGUUGUGCCAGAAGAUAGGGCAGACUCAAGAGAGUAUGUCUCUGCUAAUGCAGCAUCAGUCUCAAUGAAUGACCUUGUGACCACUUUCUCAAGUUCUAAAGGGAAGUCUGCAUCCUCAACAAUGACUUUUGGCAAAUAGUCGCGAACAAACUGUGCCGCAUUCUUUCCUCCAUGCCCAUCAAAUACCUGUUGAUUUAGAGUAAUUGCGAUUUCAAAUUGUGGAAAUAAGAAUGAAAAUUAAUAUUACUGUUGCAUGUCCUUAUCCUCUUUUUUUAAUACUUUAUGAAUGCAAUUAUGAGUUCGCUCUAGUUGAAUAUCGUUUGUCUUGAAAAGUUAGAAUUUGAAUCAAAUAUAUAAUAUUUCCUCAUUGGCCACUUAAUAGUAGACUCAAAGGUUUGAGAUGCUUACUAUUGUCACCUGCUAGAAAUUCAAUUUCAACAAUCACAUAUGCCCAAUGAAGCAAUUCUCAACUAUGCUAUUGCAUACUAUUUGAUUCUUACAGAUGUGGUCAAAAGGCUGUGGCUCUAUAAUAGCACUACUCAAACAAAUCAUGCCAGACAACCCUCUGAUUUCAAAAUUUUAGCAAGAAAUUAAUGGCAGAGCGAUAAGAAAUGCCUUGUCUUUGCAAGCUGAUGUUAUAGACUUGUACCAUGUAAAUGAAUGCUCUUCUGGACUUGCAUUUCCAAUAAGGCAACAAGCCACAUUUUGUGAUUUAUUCAUUCAGUCCACAGAAAUACUUUUAUUGACAGAUCAUCCUCAGAGUAUGUACUUUACUAUGCAUUUCAUAAAUGAUUCAUAAUGAAGCAAGAAUAGGGAACAGGGGACCCGAAGUAUGCUUUCACAAAUGGAACAUAAAAAUGAUUGUAUAUCAUAAUUUUAAGUUAAAAGUGAAGUUCAUAAGUGUUCUAACUUUUUUAGCAGUUAAAAUAAAAAUAAGAACAGAGAAAUAAAGUUGAAGGCCUGAGAACUUACACCAUAAAAAGAAAUAGAUUCCUCCCUAAGUAAAUUGUGACCAAAUUUCUUAGCCAAGUCACUGAUGCAAACGUGCGUAUCCUCCAUAUAAGGCCGGCCUCCAAUGUCAGACCACUCUCCCGACCGAAGGUUAGGGAUGAAAUUUGAUAACAAAUUCUGUUUCUUCUCCACAGACACUCUAUCUUCACAGAUGCUUUCCAGCUGAAUGGCCACAAGGAUAAGAAUUUAAGUGAGAUGACCAAAGGACAAAAAAUGACUCAAAAAUGAAAUCCAAAUUCCAAACUGAUGGAAAUUGUAUUCUGAAGUCCAAGUCUUGCAUAUGCACAAGAAUCAGAAAUGUAAAUGUUGAUUUUAGUAACAAGCACAAAUUUCCCACUUAAGGGUACAGAAUCAAUAACAUAUAAACUUAGGAUCAGGUUUUGAGAAUCAAGCCAUGAUUCCUACGGAAUAUGAAGUUUCAUGAUAUAUGAUAAAGACAAAAAAAAAAAAAAAAAAAAAAAAAAAAGGUAACACCCGAAAAUCAAGUUCGAGUUUUAAUUGUGAUACUAUUGCCUUUGUUAAUUAUACCAAAGUUCCUCCAUGCAAAUUCUUUGACCACACAAUGCAGGGGGAAAUUUUCAAAAUUUUCCACUCUAGCUCAAAAUUUCUAAGCAGCAAUAGAGCUCAUCUUUGAAAAAAUUUAAUAGAAGAGGGAUGGGGAAAAAUAAAGAACUCUACUUUCAGUUCUAUAUAGAAGGCUGAACUAAAUCAAUUAUUAUUGCAAGAGGUCAUAUGAACAGAUAAAUACAGAAGAAAAAAGUAAAGGGGAAAACUCUGAUCUAAAAGAACUUGUCAACUAUUACUGUGAUUAAAGCAUAACCGAAAAGGCAGUAGAACUGGAUAGCAGUGAACGAAUUAUAAUUGAAAUAAAGUUAGUUACUACAGAAAGAAAAAUCCCACAAAAGGAAAAAAAAAAAAAAAAAAAAAAAAAGAAGAAAGAAAGAGAGAGAAAUUACCAAAAAAAAAGCAUUAUUAGUUGCUGAACAAAGAAAUUUCAUAAACUGAUCGAGACAAUAUACUCAAAUUUGUUAGGAUAAAGCGCAAAAUUAUAUUUAAAAAUACCCAUAUGCUCUACAAAACCAGAAAGAAUUUCCUAACCGGACAAUUAACUAAAGUCAGAACUUCCAUAACAACAUCACAAGAGGUGAAAAAUCAGAAAGCAAAAUUGCAAAUCAUCAAUAACUUCAAAAAGAGUUUUUAAAAGAAACAGAAAUUACUAAAAAAGUUGGUUAAAAAAAAACACUUGGGACAAAAUGGGAAUAAGGAUAUGAAUUCUUACAGGAAAUGAAUUGCCAACAGUCAACCCAUCACCAGAACAGAUCAAAGGGGAGACUUUAUCCCAACUAUCCAUAUGGGCAUGCAAAACCUCACAAUGCAAAGGCCAAGACUGCUUCUUGCUGUUAUUACUGCUGUUAUUACUGUCAAGGCUCUCCGUUUCUUGACUAACCGGCUCUGCGUCCUGAACACACAUAGUUAUAAGUUUUUGACCAAAGAAAGGAGAAAGCUUUAAUUCUCUUUUGCAAGUCCUUAUUGUUUGUGGGAAUCCAAAGUCAUAGAAGAAAGAAGAAAGAAGAAAUAGAGGAAGAAAGAGAAUCAGAGAAAAAGAUUCCGCGAAUAUAAUGAGAUAGAUUUGAUGGGGCGCAGCAAUGUUUAUAGUUAGAAGGGGAGAGAGAAAGAGAGAGAACCGUUAAAUUCCAGAUUUUUCUAACAAAAAGCGUGGCUGAAAAUCAAUUGGUCGUGUUUUAUUAAUGUUCUGUUGAUCUGAUCUUUUUUUCUCUUUUUACUUCGCCAAUGUUGGUGGAUAAACUCGAUAUGCCUUCCUUUGGUCUUUUUUCUCAUUUCUUUUUUGUUUUAUAAAGAAUUCAUUUUUCUUAGUUCUUUUCAGGAAUCUUAAGUCUUAUUAUUUUUUUCUACCCCUUUAAGUGUUUUUUUUAUGAUUUUAACACACCAAUUAAGAAAUAAAUGAAAAUUUUUUCAAUUUUAACAAAAAAAAUUAUCCUUUUAUCAAUACUCGAAACAAUUAAUAUGCAUUUAGUGAAGAUAUUAAAAAAUAAGGAUAAAGUUUUAAAAAAUAAUUAUUACUUUCUUGAUAUACAAAACGACAAUUGUAGUGGAAUAAAAAAUAACUUUUAAAAGAUAUUAUAGUGAAAUUGAGGGAGUCCUUCCGUGUUACACUUUUUCUCUUGUUAUUUAAAAAAAUUUUAAAAUUUUUUUCUCUUUAUUUUCUAUCUUUUGAAAUCUGUAUUGAGUAAUUAAUUAUUUAAAUAACGAAAAAAAAAGGCAAUUUAAUCAAUUAUUUUACUUUUUUUAAAUUGAUUUAUUAAUUUUUAUGCAAAUUGAAAAAAUGACAAAUGGAGAGAGUGUGAAUGCAUUAAAUUUUCGUUCCCAAAAAGAAAGGAACUACCAACAACCAUUUUGCAUUAGUGUUAUUAACUUAUUAAUUAAAGUCUUUGACUCUAAUUAAAAAAUUAAUAAGAGAAUUUCUCCUUCAUUUCAUUUCUAGAUAUUAAUAAUUAUAUUGUUGCAUUAAGGAAAGUUCACCAAUUUUCUCAAAACAAACGCAAGUUGAUUUAAUAAUAUUGGAAAUAUGGAAAACGUGUGAAUAUUUUAAAAGUAUAAUAACUAUCAUGCAUUGAAUAUACAUGGAGUUUGUGUACGUGGUCCAAUGGCGUUUAUGGAUUAUUGAAAAGGUACAACCGUUGGUUAUUUUUCCUGUUUUUGUACAACAAAAAAAUCUAAAACAGAAAAGGUCAAUCUUUUAUUUCCUUAUUCCAGAUAAUUUCAUUGCAUGUAAUAUUAUUUAAUGAAAAAAAUAAGAAAUUUUAGAAUUAUGUCGCUCUAAUUUCACGAAUUAGGUAAACAAGAAAAUUACAAUUUAAGAUAAAAUUAAUAAAUUUGAAUUUUAUAUUCCUUGCCAAAAUGUUCACUUUCAUCUAUCUCAGUCAUAUGCUUAAUAGAGUAUAAAAAGAAGAUCAAAUUUUAAAGCAAUGUUGAAGAUUAUUAAUAAAUUGUUUGGUCAAGUAAUUUACCAAAUUGUUUGAUAAAUAUAUAUGUUGUUAUGCUAAUUGGAGCAAUGAGUUAGGUUUAAUUAAUAAAGUAAUAAUUGCUAUAAAAAGAUUUGAAAAUGAGAGUUUUAGGCAAUUGAUUGGGUUAGAGGAAAUGUAUAUGAAAAUGGAAGAUGAUGUAAGAAAGUGACUUAAGAUUUCUCUUUUGCUUUCUAAAAAAGUUAUCUUUUUAGUGAAAUAUCUUUUUUUUUCAUAUUUUAUGGUCCACUGGGUCUUUCUAAUUAGUGCCAAAAGGUCACUGACCUAAAGAAAGAGGUUCUUUUCUUUUCUUUUCUUGCGGUGUCAUAAUUGUCGUUUUUUGCAAUGGAAAAAGCAAGGGGAAUCAAAGCUGAAAUGUAGAAAAAUGUGUUAUUUAUGUAAUUGGUUGUUCACCUACUAAUUAAAAAAAAAAAAAACAUUGAUAAAUUAGUAUGUAAAUAUAUAUCGACUCUUAAAAUAAAUUUAGCUUUAACAUAACUAAAAUAUGAAUUAAAACUAUAUUUAUAAUUAUGCCUAAUUUCACUUAUAAUUUAGAUUAUUCAAUUAAUAAUUAUAAAAAUAUUUAAGAAUAACUCAAAAGUUGAGAGUUUUAAUAUACGUAUUUAUGUGUUAAAAAAUAUUCAAAAAAUAACCUCACGAUUACACGCUUUUAAUAUAUAUUAUAUGCUACACUUUACUUUUUACAUAUAUAAGAAAAAGAAAUGAAAUUUUACCUUUUAAACUUUAUUCUUUUUUUUUUUUUUUUUGAGCUAAUAUAUGAAUAUAGAAGAGAAAUCCUAAUUCCUUUUACAUUGAGACAAUAAUCUGUAACCCCUAACUUGAAGAUAAGUAGCAAUUUCUAUGGUCAAGAUAAAGCCAAAGAAAGAGGCCGUUCAUUAAUUUACAUUAAUGGGGUAGGGCAUCUUUCGUAGUUUGCUUAAUUAGAUGACCUUAAGAAAGCUCUUAUCCACAAUAAAAAAAAAAAAAAGCAGAAAGAACAAUGAAAGAUCUCUUGGUGGACAGACGUGGCAUUACUAUUGUAUUAUAUUAUCGCACUGAAAUUGGGCACAAUCCUGGUACUUUCCCACACAAAUUCCUUCAUCUGUCUGCACCAACAGCCAUUAAAUAAAUCUAUAUCACCAAAUAUAUUAUCAUCAACUUCUCCAUCAAAAACCUUGACAAUGUGCAAAAAGAAACCGAAACGCACAUUUUUGACAAAAAGAAACUUUUUAUUUUUUUAAUUUACAUUAGAAUUAGACAAUUACAAUUAUUUUGGGAAAAGACCAAACAAAUUGCCAUGAGUAAAAUCCAAUACCAUAUUUCCUACAAAGAAAAAAAAGAGAGAAAUUUUCCAUUUACUUUUAAGGACCAUUCAUGAAGGAAACAAAUUUCUGACUGUUGGGAGAAAUCCAUAGUUUUACCAUAAUAGGCGAUCAACUCCAAAAUAGUAGAUUAACAGCAAUAAUCAUAUCCAAUAUGUUACAAAUUGAUUUUAUCAACCCAGGUAAAUAAGGAAGCAAACAUGAUAGGGGAAAAACUUCCAUGACUUGUGACUUCUGUACCAAACUAAUGAAAUUAAAGAUUCCUUAUUGAAACAAGGGUAUUCGGUAUUCUUGACCAUAAACGGAAUACAUUUCAAAGAAUCUUCAAUUUCCAACACGGUAACACCAAAUAUUUCAUGACGAAAAGCAAAAAAUGAAGACCGCUAUGAUCACCACCACCAUCCAUGUCCCAUGGACUAUUGGGUCACUCCCUGUUCAAGCAUACCCUACAUAUAUUUUGAAUACUAUUCCUCCAGGAAAAAAAACACGAACGCUAAAUCUAACUAUUUAUCGAGUUAAAAUAAACAUGAAUUACUGAAAAAUUCUAAGAACGAGAAACCUACUUCAAACCCCAGGCACUAUUCAUGUCCAUUACCAUCAGGACAUAUUAUCAUACCAUACAAGAAAAUAGAAUAAAGCCUCUAUUAACCAUGUAAGUUCAUCCAUGAUCCAAUGAUUACCAAACACACUGCAUGAAGCAAAAAAAAUUUUGCACUAAACCAAAAAAAAAUAUAAAACUAAAAAUACAAGGGUAUCUUCAACAAUCCAUCAUUUAAGCAAUAAUCUGAAAGGGAGACAAAAAAAAGAGCAUCUAACAAUCCAUGCAAUGCCUAGAUGCUGUUUAAGACUUUCGAAGUCUUCUCUCACAUGAACAUCCUAAAAAACAUUUUGGGUUUCAAAGUUCACAUGCCAGUGAAGGCCUUCUUCCCACCACCAGAAGAUCCAGCUGGAAUAACCUUAAGCACAUUGAAUCUCACAGUUUUAGACAAAGGCCUGUAAAUUUCAACAUUUUGAGAAUUAGGGCUAGAACUGCAAACCACUGGUCAAAUUAAAUUAUAGAGAUAAAUUCUGCUUUGAAAAUAACCUGCAUUGCCCAAUGAUAACAUGAUCUCCUUCUUUCACACGGAAGCAUGGAGAUAUGUGUGCUGGAAUAUUUGAAUGUCUCUUCUCAUAUCUGAAAAAAAAAGAGGCAAAAAAAAAAAUUAUUCUUCCAUAUGAAUAAUAUAAGGAACAAAAAUCAUGCUAAAAAUUGAAGUUGAUGUAUGCCUUUGGUAUUUCUUGAUAAAGUGAAGGUAAUUCCGGCGAACAAUAAUUGUUCUUAUCAUCUUGGCACUGUGGCAAGUUCCAGCUAAGAUACGACCCCUGACAGACACCGUUCCAGUGAAGGGACAUUUCUUAUCAAUAUAAGUUCCUGUAUGAAACAUUUCCAAGCAUUGAAUCAGCAAAAUCACACACACACACACACACACACACACACACACACAUAUAUAUAUAUAUAUAUAUAUAGAGAGAGAGAGAGAGAGAGAGAGAUGUAUAGAUGGCAGUCUUUUCAGAACCGUGGAUGAGUGCAAGGGAGAAAAUAUACAUUAAGAAAAAGGCAAAGAUGAAUUUGGCACAAGUUAAGGGAACCUUGUGCACUAUGCAUCUGGCCAUGGAUAAGUAACAUAAUCCAUUCUUAAAGUAUUUAAUGAUUAGCCUAUGUCUAUGGUUUAGUUAAUGUUAACAAAAAUGUUCUUACUUCAAGGAGUUCCCAAAUGCAAUAUCUAAAUUCCUUCCAGUUGCAUAUAUAAUAUAUAAAAAUGAAAAACUCACAGAACCAUUCAGCUUUAGAAAUUUGAGGUUGGAUGCCAGGCUCACUAUGACCACUUAACUCUACAAUAUCAUUGCCAAAAUCAUUUGGCCUUUGACCUUUCGACGUAAAACACUCUUUAGUUCUAAACAGUGCAAACAUAUUGUUCACAAAAUAAAGUAAUGCAGCUACCAAAAAUCUAAAAUUGGUGUCAUAAGAAAAUUCUGAUAUAUGGAUCCGCAUUAAUUUUUUUAGCCCAGCGUAAUUGAUCUUCAAAUAAUUUAUAAAAAGACAACACAUGUUUAGUAAACCUAUAUCCCCAAUGCGAGGUAGACAAUGUAACAGAAUUUAAAUUGCAAAGUCCAAUUGCACCACAUUUGAUCAAUCUACCAGAAAGAAAUAAAAGAACUUCCCCAAGUAGCUGCAGCAAAGACUGCACAAUCAGGAAUCAUGCAAUGCACAUAUACUAAUGCUGGCCAAUCAGGUAUAAAAAAUUUUGGGGUAAAGAGUAGAAUAAAAAUGUAUCUGAAUUAAUCAUAACUUGUAUGAACCUUGCGCAGGUUGCCCCAUAGAUUCAAGGACCACCUAACAGAUAAUACCACGAAGACAGAGUCGUGAUUCAAGAUGAAAAUUAAAAGUAUGGCUUGAAAGGUAUACAAUUACCUUAUAUCUAAAUGUACAGUGCACGACAAAUUACAUAAUAGAUGACAUUAUCAUUACACUAUAGGUAUAACUAAAUAGAUAACAAUAAAAUUAUAGCAUAGGCACUAUAGAUGCAUUCAACACUAGAGGCAAAUGAUAUAAAAACUAGGGUUCAACUGCUAAAAAUGCAAGCAUCCAACAUCCACAAGCACUAAUACCCAAAAGUGGACAGAUAAAUGCAAAUGGAAGCUAGUAAAGCACCUUCAAUGGCUUCUCUAGGAGUCUUAAAACCCAAUCCAAUGCUUUUCCAGAAGCGGUUACCGCCCUUUCCAGGCCUCUUUCCCUUUCCAGAUUUCUUCGAACUACAAAAAUUAUUUGCUAAUACAUAAUUAAAAUAACAAAACAAACAGAAUCCACAUUAUUAAAAAAAAAUGUUUCAUUUGAUCUGAGUUUUACCUCAGAAAUACUUUGGGUUGUUUCAGAAACGCUUUCUCAGUCUGUAACAAAAAAAACAAACAUAGAUGAGAAUAAGCCCCAAAAGAAAGCGUUUGAAUAAGAAAAUGAGGAGAGGGAAAGAAGGAUUGGAAGAGAACCUGCUCCGCCAUGAUUGAGAGCUCUUUCUUGGGUAAGCUUUUGAAGCUGAGACGGCAGAGGGGGCGCGAGAAACAGAGAGAGAGCUUACCACUUGCUGAAUGCAAAACCCUUAACCCUAGAUUUCUUCAUUAUGUAAUUGAUCAAAAUGGGCUUCUAAUAGACUGGGGAAUAGGCCUUGGGUUGGGCUUGUGUUUGGUCCGAAACCGAGCUUGUAAUAUAUUCAUUUGGGCUGUUGCCGAAAGAAAUUUAGAAGAGACCAAGUUAAGUCUUGUUUUGUUUUUACGUUUUUGAAGGGGAACAAAAAGAAAUGAUUUUUUUACGGGUAUAGACAGGAUCGAAGAGGGGAAAAAAAAAAUCUAUCUUGUUCAAUAUUAUUUAUUUAUUCAGUCAAAGAAGAAAGUAAGUUAAUUCCCGCCAUUUCCUCCCUAAAAUACAUUCUCUUUCUUCACGUGUAUUGUAUUAUCACUUAAGUGUCAAAUGUUAUAACCUGUUAAGUAUAAUUAAUUAUGUCCUCGCCUAAUGUGCGGAAUAUAUAAUUUUUUAAAUCAAAUUGAAUGAUAAUUAUAAUUAUAUUGCUUAUGUAUUUUGAUUAAAAGAUGAAAUAUGAUAUUAUAUGUUUCUUUUAAAAUUUUUAAGUAAAAAAUUAAAAUAUUUAUUAGCAUAAUAAGUUAUUGUUUCGUUUGAAAUUCUCAUAUAUUUAAUUAAAUGCUCGUCUCAACUACAAGAAUGUUUACCAAUUUGAUAAAAAAAAAAAAGAAAAGGCUAGCCUUAUUGCAUUGCUCACAAUAUUUUUUCAUUCAACUCAUUUGGCUGAAAUAUGAUUAAUAUGCCUCACCAAUACUUAUUCUAUAUUUUAAUAUUAUGGAGUAUACUUUAAUAGGUUGUGACAUCCACAUCCAUGCUUAUAUAUUUACAUGGAUAGAGAUAGAUGUUGGGUUAAUUUAAAAUACAUUUCCUAAUAUUAAACGUAAUGUUGACUCUCAAAAAAUAAAAUAAAAAAACAAAGAAAAAAAAAAAGUAAUGUCGGAUUUAAUAUUGAAAGCUGGAAAACAGCUAGCUCCCAGUGGACUGAAUGAUUAUGUAAUGGUUCAAAAGUACCAAAUUGUAACCAGUCAAUUAUUGUGUUGCCAUUCACCAAGGAAUUUUUCCUUCAGAUUUCAAAUUUCUCUAUUGAUGAAAUUGUAUUUAGAAAAAAAAAAAAAAAAAAAUUUCCCCCCCAAAAAAAAAAUUGCCGCCCCUUCAGUUUCAUAAGGAUAUUAAAAGAAAGGUCUGAUUUUGGAGCUCGAGAAAAGGUAAAAUCCAGAGCAAAUCAUACCAUAAGCCAGACAACACCUUCAUGAAACCUCACAUCAGUAGCUCCAGAUUUCCAGGAUCAUCCCUAAAGGACCAAUACCAAGUCAUUGACAAUAAGGUGAACUUGUACAUAAACCUCAGUAAUUACCAAUUAGAUUGAUAGAGUAGAGGUCUUACUGAUGAAAAACAUAAACUAGACAGGUAGAUGAUGAAUCAUUCCAUAUAAAACGCCCUUCAAAAAGUACCAGGACGUCAACAGGCCUAUAAAAGAUAGAAUCCAGUGCAAAAGUAACAAUCAACUGGAGAUAAUACAAGUUAAGAAAGAAAAACAACUAUUUCUUCUGAAGACAUUGGCUAUGAACUUGAGAAAUCUCACACCAUGCUGUUUGCAAUGGACAAAACGCAACAGAUGUUUACCAUUAGAACCGCUACAUCAUUCACAACCCUCCGCACUGAUCAAUCACAACCUUAACACCACGUCAAUACUCUUUCAUGUUAUAUCUCACUCUGUCUGCAUUUAAGGGAAAAGUAAAAAAUGAAUGGUUUUUAUAUCUUGAGAAAAGGCUUGUAAUUUUACUGCCUGCAACUAAAACAAAUAACAUUCCCUAAAUGACAAAACCAUCAGCAUGAAAAAUAUUUACCAUCUAUCAAAAGAAAACAGAAAAAAAGACCCCCUUAAUACCAUAUGCUGAGAACUAAACAAGCCAGGCAUGAAAAUUACAAUGUGUCCCCAAUAAUUAGCAGUGUGCACAUAUUUCUAGAUAAAUUCUGGUCUAGUAACACUAGCAAGAUGUUUUGCCUAAGAUGUCAUUACCAUACACCCAGAAUCACCGAAAGCAAAUAUCUUAAAAUCCACCAAACAGAAUCUUACUGGGGUAGAAUCUAAAGUAUAAUGGAAUUCAUCAAGCAUAAUUCUGUGUCUUCACUAAUAAGUUCUUAGGACAUAUGCGGAAAAAUCAUCCAAACUCUAAUACAUUGAGCGAAGAAAACAAAGGUGAGGUUGAAAAGGAGAAAUGAGAUUAACUUAGUUACCUUUUGGCGUUUUGCAUUUGGGGGGCUGUGUUCAGUAUCAUUACGGCGACGAGAUGCCCCACCUUCAGAGCUUUCAGCCUGCAAAACCAUCACUUUUUUAUCCUUGUGUUUAUGAAUAAUUAGGUAGGCAUAAUAAAGCCUGAGCAACACAUCUAUAACUUCAUGCGUGAGGUCUUAUCAUUACUUUAUAGUCAGAGAUGUCCAGAAUUUGUAACGAGAUGAGGUGUAAAAAGCAAGGAAAGGGCUUGUGCUGCAGUAAAUUACCUGGGUGGAUGAAUCUUGAGCUCCCUGAUUGCCAGAGGCACCUAAAUCUCCCUGGGGAAUAACAUUUGGCUCUGCACCACCACGUUGAGAUAUGAAUGGCAUAAUUUCAUGAAGCAAAUGAGACAAGAAUAUUCCUUCAUCAGUAGCUCCUGAUUGUGCUUCAACAGGAACAGUAGACGCCCCUGUAUUCUCAGGGUUAGAACCAUUAGCUGUUCCCUGCAAACCUCCAUCCUCCACAUGGAUUUCCCCAACUGGAAGGAGGUUCCUCAGGAGCUGCAAAAUGCUGUUCUGUCUCUCAGAUUCAGAAGCGUUUUGUGUCCCACCAGCUGACAAAAUAUUGAUAUUUAUACUACGAGUACUAGAUGGCUCUUGUUGUCCUAAGUUGGAAGUUGGAAAUGAUCCCGGAAAGAAAGGAAAGGACAAGUGUUGGUCAGCCAAUGGAGGAAAGUUGAAUUAAACUCAAUAUGGUCCUAUGGCAUGCUUCAAAGUGUAAAACAAAGAUAUUCUAUUCUGUUAAUUUAAGCUAUUAAUCCUAUGAAAGAACUAAGCAGCUGUAAUACAAAACUUGGAUAAUUAAUUAAGUAGCAGCCAUAAGCAAAAUCACCAACUCAGAACAAACAAUAAAAAAAAUAAUAAUGACAUAGUUUAAAUGUAAGAUGACCAAUAAUAAUCCAUGUAAGCUGCCUGAGAUUUCCACAAGAACAAAUAUCUAUCAAUUUCUACAUGAAGUAUGGGCUGAGAAAUUAUUGUAAAUGCUGUAUUAGUUAUAUUACCAUCUCUUGUCUGAUGUUCAGCAUUUGGUUGUUGCACUGCAGGUUCAGAAGUUGACUGCUGCUCAGUUUGAACACCAGCAGGCUGAUGCUCACCAGAAGCUUGAGAUCCUCGUGCACCACCCACAUGUCCAGAAGCUACAUGUUGGAAUCUUCCAAGAACAGGAUAAUAUAACCCUAUAGAAUUGCUAGGAGAAUCAGAAGGAAGGCGACUGAAUGGACCAGGAACAGCUGCAACUCUAAUUGGCACGACCCGCACUCCAGACUCUCCACCAAAAGAUGAACCUUCUGCGACCCUUGAUGCUGUUUGACUACCUAGAUUUUCACUAGCGGAACCAGUUUCCAGGUUCCUCUGCACUGAGGGCUGCUGAUUAUCACUUCGAUCCUCGCGAUUAUGAUUGGGUGAUGCUGUUGAAGAACCUUUGAUGAAAACAAUAUUGGUUAAUAAGUGGGUACAUAAUUUACAUCAAUGGAUCCAAAUUGUUGAUUACAAAAGGUACAUAUUUGCACAGUACCUCUUCGAAUUUGUAUAUCAAUACGCCUUGGAAGAAAUCCAGUACCAAUGCCAUUAACCAAACCAGAUCCGGGCUGCACAGAUCCCACAGGAAUGGCACCAAAGCUUGCUCCCGGUUGAAAUGGAAGAGGCUGUAUUUAAAGGUGUCAUCAGAAUAUAUAUAUAUAUACUGAGAAGCAUAAAUAAUUUAAAAUAAAUCUAGGAGAUGUUAAGAUAAUAACCUGAACCAUAAGAGGAUUAGGACCAGAUGGAUUUAUGAAAACAGCAGGACCAGCAUUAACCACAGCUUCAGACUGUAUAAUGAUGAUCAUGGCAACAAAAACAACUCAGGAGAUGUCACCAAAAAACAGAUAAGAUGCCAAAGAUGGAAAAUUUAAGAAAACCCUACCGGUGCUUGACCUAGUCGAAGGGUCAUUGUUGUACGUCCAAGUUCAAGUAGAAAUGCACCUAAAUUGUGAAGUUGAACUCCUGUCCUCCAUGCACUAGACUGAGCGCUCAACCUUGCUGCAGAAUCAGUAACAUUUUCUUGACUCUCUAGUUGUCUUGCAAGAUUCUGCAAGUAUACAGAAUAGAAAGGGGAAGUGGAGGUAGACAAUGCAAUUUAAGUUUGAGAAGGAAUAAAUGAAAAAAAUGUCAUCAUACUUUCAACACCAAGAUCAUAAAGAGCAGAAAAAUAAAAAGAUUAAAUUUAUGAUGAGCAUGAAAACUAUAAUAAAUAAUCAGAUUCCUAUAACCUUCAGCAACUUAGUUUCAAGUGUAAAGAUAAUAUACAAUAGGCUACCUAAAAUAAGGGAAAGUAAAAUAAAGAUAAUGACAACAUCUAAAGUAGGUAGACUGGCACUAAAGAACACACUUGUAUGCAUUCUGCAACUUGUUCAUUGAUAAAUUGUCUGCUAGACAGCAUCACUUCUGCCAAGGAUGCAGGAGUUGGAAGCCUUUCUUGUGCAGUUGCUGAUCUGGAUGCAGAAUUAGAGUCUCUUUGCUCAGUUCUCUGAAUGGCUUCCGCUUCAGCACUGUUUUCACCAUCUGUGCCUGCCAUUAUAAUGCAUCACAACCAUAUCAAUGGAUCAAGAAUCAGGCAUUAGAGAAGCAACUAAACAUCAAAUUAUAGAAUUCAACACUGGAGAUAAAACUGACCAAUGGCAUUAAAUUCACGCCUCAUAAGACUCAGAUAUUGGGACAUAGUUGCCAAAGAAUCAGGAAUAACCUACAAUGACCGAGAAUAUUGCAUAAUAUUUGAAACUUGAACAAUAAAUACAUGCCAUAAGAACCAUUCCAUAAACAAAAGAAACAAAAUUGGGGGCAAAGGAAGGCGGAGGGAUCCCAAACUUACAGGAGGAUGCAGAGAACCCAACGAAACUGCUGUUGGAAGGCCAAAAGCACUUUGUAAUCUAUCAGACUGCACCCUGCUGCCAGCUUGUUCAGGUUGUGUCUGGGUUGUAUCUGGUGUACCACUAGCAGCUGGUAAUCUGUGUUGCCCACGCUCCUUCCAGAUAAUGCCAAUGGAAAGAAUCAGUAUAAACAUGUAAACUUGAGUUUAUGAAUGUACAAAGCCAUUAAAAGAAAAUUUUUAAUUUUGCAAGGAUAACACCUAAGAAGCAUGCCACCAGCCUAUGUUGCAUGGAAACAGAAACGGAAACGGAAACGUAGAAGCAUGGAACAGGACACAGGGAAACAGUAUUUUUAAAAAUAUAAGAAAUGGAAACGUGGGGAAAACGCAUAAAUAUGAAAAAUAUAGGGUUAUAUUUAUAAAUAUAAAAAUAUAAAUUAUUAUAAACCAUUAAAUAUAUUCAACAAUAAGUUAAGUCCAAUCAUCAUUUAAUCAUAUCCAAAAAAAUUACAAGUUCCAUACUCAUAAACAAUACAUGUUUUAUGAAUUUGUAUUUAUUUAUGCAUUUAUUUUAAUAAGUGAAAUGAGUUUUUGAAAGUUUCCAGUUUAAGGAAACGUAUUUAGAGAGAAGAAACGUGUUUCCAAAUUACUCAAUACAGAAACAGCCCUGAAAGGUUUCCGAGGAGUUUCCAAGUGCUUCCGUGCAGGAAACGUUUCCGAAACACAGAAACGGCAGCCAAAGGAAGUUUCCGUGCAACAUAGCCACCAGCUCUUUGUCAUAUCUAAGGAAGCCUCAACUUUGGGCAUCUCAACAAGUUAUAAUUGUAAAUUCUUAGGAUGUGUUAGACAUUUUAAUGCAUACUGUUUGUAAUAUAUUCAUUUGCCCAGGUAUGUAUGCAAAGAGAGAAAAGGGAAGACAGAUAGAGGAUGCGAGUUAGGGAGGCAAAUUUUCACUCUAUCAUACUAUAAAAUGUAAUGUAAUUUAUUGUCCUGAGCUUCCAGAGUUCAAAUUCAGACUUACCCUUCCAGCAUCAAUGCCUUCACCGCCACUUCCAAUAUUUGGAAAUCCAAAUGAACCAAGAACAGCAGAAACAAUCUGUUUCAAAAUGAUGAGAAAGAAUUAUAUACAAAUUAUAAAAACUGUACAGAUGCAAUAUAUAUAUAUAUAUAUAUAUAUAUUCUCCAUUUGACAGCUAGUCAUAGCCUCACCCUACUGAUUUCUGGAGGAACUCCAUCCCCUUGAUCUGGCAUACUGAAAGUUUCAAUUACAACACUGGGACUCCCAUGACCACGGCUUGUACUUGAAGCGGGUUCAUUGGCUGCAGCAUUGAAAUCAAGUGGUUAAUCUUUACUGCUAUUAAUGUGAAUGCGCACAUCACGGUGACUGACACAUUUUACACACCAAGUUAAAGAUCAAAGCCACAACAGUAAAUUGUGAAAAGCCAGAAUGACAUCAGCGAAAUGCUAUAACGGCAUUGACAUCAAGCAUCAUCAUUACUUGCCAUUUGAUGGUAAUAGUUGAAGAAAAGAAAUACAAAACAAAUCAAACCUGGAUGAUUGGACAAGCCAUCAGAAGAUGGCAGAACAGGUUGCCUGACUACCAGAUGCAAGGUAUGCCCGUCUUCAACAUCUAAACCAUGUUAAGCAACAAGAUUAAAUGAACUGCUGAGUAAGGCACGACUGUGAGGAGGAUAGUUCUUUUAUGUCAACUACUAAAUGGAAUUUUCAGUAAUUCUAGAAUUUACCUCUUCUCAUGUUGAAUUAAUACAGUUUUUUUUGUCACCAUUUAGGCCUACGGAUGGACUGGUGUAAAAAAGUAAAUGGGUUCAACUAACAGGUGAGAAGGACAGAGAUCCACAUGACAAAUUCCAACUAGUUUGAGACUACAACUAUCAUGUGUGUGUGUGUGUGCGCGCGCACAGAAUUAACAAGCGUUUUAGUUAGGUCUGGUUUUUCUAAUUACAUGCACAUGAAAACAGAGAAAGAGAGAACGCAAUAUUGGAUUUUCCUAUCAUGUGACUUAAGUCUGCGUACUACUACUCCUUAAGCAAACCAUAUCUAUCUUGGGCCCAAAUUGAAUAUCUUUCCUUGAAUUCUGCUAGAAGACUCAUUAAUAAAUGACGAUGAUCAUGAUAAAAGUUAAACUCGCAUGCCACAAUAAAUGAUAUACAGAAUAUUGUUUUGUUAGAGAAAAGAAAAAAUUGCCAGCCUUAUAGAAAGAUAAAGGAUACGAUAGGCAGAAAGUAGUUGAUCAUCCUUUAAAACUUUUCCGCGGCAUAUUAAACGUUGUUGUUCUGACACCACGCCUGUGACAGAAGCGAUCUGUUCUUUCAAUGCAGGAACAGGCAUCUGCAGGAUACUCAAAAACAAAGGAAAGGAUAUGAUGAAAUUCAAAGCCUCCACAAAAAGGGUUCACAUACAAGGCCUUCCUUAUAAAUUCUCACGUGCAAAACAAGUAUUAAAGCUCUUACCAUUAUGGCAAGAUCAUAAAUGGUGUCUCAUGUUUAAGAAAGAUCAAGAAACAUGGGAUAAUCUAUUUGCUGAGCUGCUUAUAAUAUAUGUUCUUCAAUAUUUUCUGUUGAGAUAUUAAAUGAAGUCUUAGGUAAUUGAGUUAUGCCCCACUCAUUUUUGAAAUCAAGCUUGAAGAAAAAGUUGUUUAGAUGAAGCACACAGAUGGUAGAGAUCGGGAAGUUUUUCCUCUUGCAUGAUGAAUAUUAGGGUUUUCAAAAUACCAGGUUUUGUCUUACCAUCCAUCAUGAGAUCAGGUGGUUCUCUUGGAUUCUUUUUUGGCUUGUGAUAUAGGGACUUCCACAGGAGUAUCAAAGAAAUAUUCAUAGUAAUUAGAGGGUAUUACAUAUUUAUUAUUUUUUUUUUUUCAUUUUAUGCAUGGAUUAGUUCAGAAGGAUGCCCCACCCUCCAAGUUGUGAACUCCUUUGUUUCUUCAUUAAUAGAAUUUCUUUUCUUAUGAAAAGGGGGGAAAUUACAGUUUCUUGUACACCAAAGAUUCCUCAACCAUUCUCAAAAGAAUAGCUGCUGAAGAGACCAUACUUAUGAUUGUAGUGGUUGUAGGAAUUUUCGAAUUCCUCCCUUGGUUAACUUUCUUUCUGAGGUUCAUAUUCUAUACCCUUGUCUCCAAAAAUCUAGCUGUGAGAAGUAUUUUGUGUUCAUGAAAUAGCAUAAAUUAUUGGAAAAGCCACAAUAUAGUGGGGAGCCAAAGCAUUUACCUGUUUGUCCACUCUUAAAGUGUAGGUUUGAGAAUCCAAAGUUUUUAUUUUUAUUUCAAUUGUUGUCUCUGAACCUUCAGCCUCAUCGGCCAUAGGAAUUUUCUGAGUACCAUCAUUUCCCAUUCUCCUUAAAGCAACAAAUGCCUGCAUAUAAAGAAUGUAAUAUAGGAAGUUAGCUUUCUUUCUUCUUUUUUUUUUUUCCUCAGGUGGGAACAUGCUAGGGUGAAGAGAAAAAUAACAUGUUUAGCAAUUCCAUUUGACAUGAUGAAUGAUACGGCUUACAAAAAUGUUGUCUACAAAAAAGAUACAUAAAAAAUAGAAAGCCUUCAGCAUACUGGUACAGAAACAAGAAAGUGACUGAAACUAAGAAAACUUACAAAGUAAGCCACAUUCAUUCAAAAAUUAAAACUCAGUAAGAAGUCACUUAUGCAUGGCCUUUAUUAUACAGAUCCCCCAUGAGUUCAUUCUUAGGAUGUAUCUUAACAGGCUUUAAAUAUGUAUAGGGACAUUUGUCCAAGGGUUUAAUUUGUCAAAUUGUUAUAAACAACAUUAAGGCUUGUACUUUUUCAUAAAAUCAUGACUGCAUAAAAACCAAUAAAAAAGGGUGAUCCGAUUUACUUUAUGACAGCCAUCAUGUAUUGUUUUUGAGGUAUUAUUUAUAUAGAUAUAUAACAGAACAUCAGUUAGCAGAAAAUUUGCCAAAGAGGAGGGAAAAAUUUUGGUCAUUAUCAUGACGUCGUCAGAUAAGGUUAUAAAUCAAACGCAAAAAAUUUCUGUACAGUGAAACCCAGCAUGGUUUCAAACAUUGGCCGACUCAUACACAUCAGAUUUUGAGCUCAGGAUGAAGGCCAAUAAAACUAGAUAUGCAUUGGAAUAUGUAAUUUCACCUGCAUGGUACUCUUCACCAGUCAAUAGCCAAUAUACUCUUAUACAUAGCCUUUCACAGCCAUUGCGGCCGAUAUGGCCAUUACAAAUAUUAGAAGGCCUCUUGAGAGUUCUUUGCAUGGAAAAUAGCUUCCUUUAGGCAUAAGCAAAUCAUAUUUCCUCUAGACAGUAUACUCUAUCACUUCCCUCCCUCAUAGACUAAGAUUCAUCUCCACCUUCAAUUUUAACAAGAUUCUCAUUUACUCACUAACUCUCAAGUUUGAGAGUACAACUAAAAGCAUUUCGUAGAAUAAGGUAAAAAAAAAAAAAUUCGGUGGUAGCUGCCACAUAUCUAAUUUAUCUCGUGUACUUUAUUCCAGAAUUUAGUUAUCCCAGGUCUUGGAAGUAUUAAUAUGUAAGACACAUAGUUAUCUAUAAGUGUCAUGCUCCACCCUUUCUCUACAGCAACACAUAUGAGGUCAAGUUCCCACAUAGACUCAGGUUUAGCUUAGCAGUAAGUUCAUAUCCAACUUGGAUAAAGACCUAAGCAUGAAUCCCUCCCUUCCCCAGUAUCAAAAAAAAAAGCCACCAUGACACUUGCUUUCUUUAGUCUUAUAAAUUCUGGUUGCUAUACAAAGUUCAAACAUGAUGAACACCAAAAUCACAAUCUUUGUGUUCAUCCUCAUUAGGAGCAGCAAAAAACCUCCAGCAUGUACAACCAUUUCACAUCACAUACAAAAACACUGCACACAGCAACAUUUAUUUCAACUUCUAAUUCUGCAGAAUUUGUAAGUCAUAAUUGUGGACAGAAACACAUUUAUGUGGACUUAGGGCCUACUGUCCAAUUCCAAGCCACUUAUAAGAGAAAACUACACCGUAAUUUUGAUAUUUUAUGCCUUUGUAUUUGAAAGCCCUAAUUCUCCAUAGAAAAACAAAAUGAAAUUCAAAGCUAAUAGUAAACUUAACUGAACAAUUAAACCUAAAAGAUUGAGAUGCCAAAAAACAAAACAAUAAUUUUCAUAACUAUCUAAAGACUAAAGUUAACAACUUUAACCGAAGUUAAGGUUCAAUAAGCAUAAUUCACCAGUACAAACAAUAGAAACAGAAGACCCCAACAUUUCUUAACCUUUAAUCAUUCUGCAAGAAUCUAAUCGUCAAUCCCUCAAAUGGCCCGGGAGACAACCAUGUAUUUCUAGCUGAUAUCAUUUUAGGUCUCCCAAAAUCACAAUUGUACCAGACUAGCUAAAGAAUUUAAGCUCACCUCACCAAUCAUCAGAAACAAAGAAAGCAAAACCAAAUAUCCAAGCUGAAAACCUAAUUUAGAGAAUGAAACCAUUAAAGAGAAUUCCAAAAAAAAAAAAAAAAAAGCAAAUAGUCGGAAUUACCUGUGAUUAGAAAAACAAAUUCGCUUCAAGGAGAUUUCGGAGACAGAGGAGGGAGAGAGUUAUGCCGAUAAUGGUAUGGAUAGCGAAGCGAUACGGAAAUUUACUGUGCACCCUCUCUCCCUCUCCGUAUUUGGCAGCUGAGAGCUGACACCUGAUGAUAAAUGGCACUUACGUAGGACGAGGAGGGAAAUGUUAAUAUGCUUCUCGACACCGUUUUCAUCUACAAGGUGAUUUUUGGAUUUAUAAUUUAAGAUUAAAAAAUAAUUAUCUUUUAUUAAGGGAAAUAAUUAAUACUCGUUUAUUGUAGCUAAUUCAUGUUUUAAUAAAUUAGUUUAGAAUUCGGGAUUGUCUUAAUUAUAUUCCAACUGGUGGCUUACAUGUAAUGUGCACAGUUAUAACUUAUGAUUUUUUUUUUUUAUUCCUCCAAAAAAAAAAUUAUGAUUUUUUAUUAAAUUGUUGAAUGUUCUUAAAUACAAUAUUAUUAGUAAUUUCUUAUUAUUGUAAUUUUUCUACAAUUUUGUUUUGAUUUAUUGCUCUGUUAGUCUACUAUUUGUGCUUGUCGUUUUUUCACAUGAAAAAAGUAUAUUUAAAACAAAUAUUAGGUGAAUUCUUAGUAUAAAACUUUAAUUUUAAGAAGUUUCUUCCAAUUAUAUUUAUUUUAAAGUUACAUUUAAAUUUUUUUAUAAUAUUUCAAUCAUAAUUAAAUUCAACUAAUCAAAAUUAUAUUAUAAAUGUUUUGGCAGUAUUCAAAACUAUAUUAAAACAUUUUUAUGUAUUGUUCAAAUCAUGAUUAAGUUUUAUUGCAUUUAAAGCUAUUUAGUGAAUUGUAAUUUAUAAGUUAUAUUUAAAAUAAAUAUAAAAUGCAUUAUGAAACUCUCAUUAUAAAAAACAUCUUCCAGCUAUAUUUAAAAUGUUUUUAUAUAUCAUAAAUUAUAUUACCAUUUAUCAUGUUUAUAAAGAGACUUAUUAGGAAAAAUAUUUAUUUAAAUUAAUUUCAAAAGAUUUGAAUUAAAAUGAGAUAUUUUAUUAAUUAUUAAUUAUUAAUGAUUUCAAAAUGAUAAAUAUAUUAAUGAUAUAUUGAUUAUUAUUAUUAAUUUUAUCGUAAUUGAUACAUUUUAAUUAUUUUAUAAUUUUAGUUUAUUUUCAAUAAUAUUUAUGAUACUAUUAACUCAUGAAUUAGUAAAAGCAACUGAAAUGUUUUACUAUUUAUCAAAAACUAAAGUUGAAACAUUUUCAAAGUAUCAACAUUAUUUUUAAUUCAUUAAUUACUAAAAAUUAUUAAUGAUAUUAAUUUCAAUCCAUCAAUAUCUAUAAAUGGUAAUAAAAAAUAAAUUCUCUCAAAUAAAAUGAAUUUUGACUAAACAAAUAAAUAUUUUAGAAUUUCGUCACGUCAGCAAAAAUGGUUUAAAUUUUAUAUAUUUAUUACAUAGAUAGAUAUAAAUAUUAUAAGAAAAAUAAUUAUAUAUAUUAAAUUUGAUAAUACAAUAGGAGAAAACACAUCACAUUAAAUAAUUACAUUUUAUUUAAAAUUUUUGUACUAUUUAGUAUAAUUUAUUUACUGGUUCAUAAUCCAUAGAUCUACACAUUUAAUGGAUUCGAUUAGAUUAAAAAGUUAUAUAUUCGUACACCCGUCGCGAGUACUUUAAAUUAAUAAGCUCGAUUCAAUUUUACAUAUGUGCAACCUAAUGAUUAAAUCAAAAUUUCAAAUAUUUUAUAUAGUUUGUAAUUUAAUAUUUCAAUUGCAGGAUUUUUUUAAUAAAUUUAAACUUAAGAAAUUGUUUUUUUUAGAAACAAAAAUUGAAAUUGUUAAUCCUCAAUGAAUCACUGAGUAAAAAGAUUGCUAUUGAUUGCAUAAAUUUAAAUGGCAUGUGAUAAAACUUCUGUUUGUAUAAUGAAUAAAUAAUAAAUGACGGAGCUAUAUAUAAUAUAAAAAAAUAAUUUAUUUAAAAUAAUUUAUAAGUAACAGAAAUAAAUAAAAUGCUAUAGCAGAUGACGAAGUCUUUUAUCUUCUUUUUUUUUUUUUUGAGAGAAUAUUACACAUAAAUUAACAUUUAUAAAUAAUAUAAGUAUUUGGAUUUAUAUUUCUUAAAUAACAAAAUAUAAAAACACAAUUGUAAUAUCAAAGUUCAAUAUUUUAUUUUAAAUAAUUGUUUAUUUAAACAAAAUAUAAAGAAAUUUAAAAAAUCAUUUCAUGAAUUAUUUUGCCCCGUUAACAUUCGAGGGGAAGUUAAAUUAAACUAUUUUCUUUAUUCUUAGGUUGGGCCUGCAAUUAUAUCAUAUGAUGAUAAUGAAGCCCAUAUCUAUUAAAUUGGCAGUCUAAUGGGCUAAAUGGUUAAGUUGGGCUUUUCUGGUGGCCCAAUAAUACAAAUUAAAAAAUAAUAAUAUUUUGAAAAAUAUUUAUUAUUAUUCUCUUUUGAUUGCAAUAUAACAUUAGCAAAUUAAAUAAUCAUACAAAUAUUUCCAAUUUCAAUAGGAGAUUGAUUCGAGAAAUCUAAAUCAUAAUACAAGACAAAUUUAUUAUGACAGAGGGAGAUAGCUCAAAACUGAAAUUAUUAGAAAAUAAUUAUUUUUGGACAAAUAAACCUCAGUUUAUCUGUCGAACACUAAAAUUAGCUGUACAGUAUAUACAAUUUGUUUGACAGAUGAAAGCCCUUUAAGGAAUGGCAGGAUCUUGUUAUUAAAGAGAUUACAGCUCAGGUUAAGAUGGAAUUAAUAUUUUCUAACACACUUAAAACCGAUAAUUCACUCUAUUACAUUCAUUAUUCAUUACAAGAGUUACAACAUUAAUUAUGAAAUAUUGAGAAUGCAUAAACUCAAUAGUAUCUGACAGGACACAAUAUUAUGAAACUCCAAACUUGGACAAGAAAGAAAUAUUGUCGACAAAAAAAUAGUAGCAAUUGGUGGUAGUCAAUUCUAUAUAGUAGAACCAUACUCGACGCCAAUAUGGAUUUAUAUACAAAAUUGCAACUAUUCCCAAUAAUAUUAUGAUGUAAGACACCACAAAACUCACAUAGAAAACACCCAUGUCGAUGAAGCCAUUUUCUUCUUUUUCAUCCGUUGAAGUUGUUGGCAUCAGUGGCGGAGAUGUGGUUGUAUCGCAAGGCUUUGGAAGAGGUAAUCCACAGAGGAAAGAAUUUCCCUCGUAACUGCCUUGUUCAAAUGUUGCAAAUUGUGCAACCCUCUCAGGUGUCUUGCCAGAUAAAUUGUUAUGUGCUACACUAAAAACUGCUAAUGAAUAUAAUUGAGUAAGCUGAGAGGGGAUUUUUCCUUCCAAAUUAUUGUAAGAAAGAUUUAAACUCUCGAUUUGCCUCGAAUUUGAAAAUGUUUGUGGAAUUGGUCCAGUCAAAAUGUUAUGAGACAAAUUCAGCACUUGGAUUUCACUAAGAUUUCCAAUUUCAGGUGGAAUCUCUCCUGAAAAUCUGUUACAAGAGAAAUCAAUCCCUGAAAGAUAUAGGAGGGUUUUCCGUUGGUAAGAAUAAGUUGCAUUUUUAUUUGUAAAUUCUAAAGGUUGCAUAGGUGGUGGGUCAGGAGAUUGAGUUUCAAGUUCUCUAGACCAAUCACUACUCAAUAUCAGACAUGGGAGAAUAUGACCAGAAAGAUUAUUAUGAGAAAAAUCAACCAAGCUUAGUUCUAACCCACAUAAUUGAAUUGGAAGUUCACCAAUAAAAUUAUUAUGACUUAACAAAAUAUAGCUCAACCUAGAAAUGUUGACAAUCCAUGUUGGAAUUUUUCCUAUCAACUUAUUAGGGCUUAAGUCUAACACCAUCAAACUGGAACAAUCACUAAAAACAUUUCUGAAAGAUCCUUGCAGCUUAUUUUUUGACAAAUGAAUUUCUCUUAGGUAAGAAUUAGGGCAAAAAUUGGAUGAUAAGCUUCCAGAGAUACUAUUUAGUGAAAGAUCUAAAAUUUCAAGAGAAGACAUAUUUCCUAUCCAUUUUGGGAUAUUUCCAAAGAGAUGGUUAUCACUGACAUCAAAUAUUAUCAACCCAGUACAGUUAGACAAACUGUUUGGUACACUUGUGCUCAAUUGAUUACCAUCCAAAAGUAAUUUUUCCAAAUAUUCCAAGUUAGCACUCCCAGGAAAUAUUUGUCCUUGCAAAGAAUUAUCUGAAAGUAUAAGUUCAUUUAAUGAGAUACAAACCAUAGUCAACUGCUCUGGUAUACUCCCUGAUAAAUUAUUGUUGGAUAAGUCUAAUUUUGUCAAUAAGCUCAUAUUUCCAAAUGAAGAGGGAAUGUUUCCACUCAAACCAUUUCUUCUCAUGUUUAAAUCUCUCAGCUUUGGAAAAUAUAUUCCCAUUUUUUUUGGAAGGUACCCAUACAAGCAAUUAUCAGAGACAUCCAGUAUUGAUAAAUUCAAAAGAGAAUGAGUAGGUAACUGAAAAGACCCAGAAAGAGAAUUAUUGGCUAAAUGAAGUUCCUCUAGUUUUGUAUUAUUCUCUAACAACCACUUUGGAAAUUUCCCUUGAAUUCUAUUGUGUGAGAGAUCGACUACUCGUAGGUUAUACUGAUGAUAGAGGAACUUGGGAAGCUUUCCACUACCAUAUAAAUGAUAGCCAGAUAAUUUGAGAAUGUCUAAUUGAAACUUUGGAGUCAAAUUAUGAUCAUCCAUUGUCACAUAUAUUUUAUUUUCUUGACAAUCCAAAUAAUUGAGCUUUGAAUGGUUGAAAAAUGGAGAGAGCGAGAUUGGGAUUUGAAAGAGAUUUCCAAAGAGGUUUAGGUAUUUAAGGGAUGUUAAACUCCGAAGAGGAGAUAAAGCAACAUCUCCUAUAAAAUUAUUAUAAGAGAGAUCAAAUAGUUUAAGGGAUGUCAAAUUUGCUAGACACCAUGGCAAGCUACCAUUGAAAUUAUUUCCUCCAAAAUCUAGUUGCUGCAGAUACUUUAAUUCACAAAGACCUGAAAGUUAUAAAUUUAUAAUAAAAAUAAAAGAUUUUAUUAGCUAAAAUCUCCAACUUUCUGAAAGAGAUGAUGCAACAUAGAGAGGGGAUUUUCUUAAAUAUACCUCUGUCGGCAGGUAUGGAUCCAGUGAGUCUACAAUUUAGCAAAGAUAGAGUUUUAAGAUUCCUCAUCAUUCCAAUGCUUUGUAGAUGAAACCCACUCUCGAAAAUAGAAAAACUUAAGUCCAAAUGCUCCAAAUUUUUGAAAUGAAGCAAGUCUAUCAAAAUACCAAAAAAGAAAUAAUUGAAAUGCACAGAAGAGUAAUUGCCAACAAGCUAAUUUACAGUAUAAAUUAACUUAAUUACCUUGACCAAAUAUAGUUGCAUUGAAAAUUUUGCAAAAGCUUAGAGAUAGGGUAAUUUCCCCAAGGAUUCUACAAGAUGGCUUCUUCCAUCUAUGGUGAUAAAAUCUAGAAAGAGACUUAAGUUGCUUAGACUUCUUUUAUCUGCAAGUGAGAAUAGAAUCUAUUUAUGUCAAUAAUUACCAAAACACAUAUUAAUCAAGAUUGAAAGUGCACCUGGUAAGUCCACAAAUUUUGUAAUGUUGUUAUUUUCACUCAAGUCCAGCUCCUCUAAGCUUUUUAAGGUUCGUAGUUCUAAUUAGUAAAAAAAAAAAAAAAAAAAAAAAAAACAUAAUUAAAUCAUUUAAUUAUACACAAUUUUCUUUUCAAAUUGUUUUAAACUGAAUCAUAAAGAGAGGGAAAAUAAACUUAUUUAACCUUUGAAAUUGAAUGGUCCUUGGAAUUGAUUGCUUCCUAUGUCCAGACUUUUGAGAGAUGAGAGCCCUUUGAGGAAUGAUAGAAUACUGUUAUUAAAGAGAUUUCCACCUAAGCUAAGGUGCUCCAGAUUCCUCAACUUCAGCAAUUCUUCAUCACCUACAUAUAUACAAUAUUUUUUGAACUUAUUUAAUUAAGCAAUCAAAACAAUUGCACACCAAGAUGUAAUGUAGUGGUAAGUGCAUUUGAAUUCUCUAUAAUAAUUGCAUGACCUGACAAUAAAUUCAAGUUCGAAUCCCCUUUUCCAAUACUCAAAAAAAGCAAUCAACAUAAUUAAUGAGUGCAAUGAAAAAUCAAUUCGUAUCAUGCAAAUAUUUAAAGCCUUCAAUUUGGUUGCCUCCCAUAUUCAACUCCUGUAAAUUCUUCAAAUUAUUCAAUUUUGCACAUAUACAUAUGAUUUUUUCCUUUGUUUAAUAGUUGAUACACAAAAAUAGAAUGAGUUAGCUAUAAACACAUAUAUGAUGACUUAGCUAAAAAUUUCAAAUUGAUUUUUCCAAAGAAAAAAAAAUUUAAAAAGAGUGAAGUGAAAGCUGACCUUGAAUAUCAAUAAUUCCUUUGAGAUUGUUGCUAUACAAAUUUAAAAAUUUUAAAGAUGAAAGACCACCUAGACAUUUUAGACUGAUGCUGUUGAACAUAUUAUAAGAGCAUCUCCAAUGUUAACGUGAAUUGUGGCCGAUGUGUCAUAUGAAAUAGAAUGUGUGAAUAAUGAUGUGGUUGAAUGUCUACUUAUAGAUAAUGAAUUUUAAAAAACUCUACCCAAUACAUUAGUUUUGAAUUUUCUUUCAUUCUCUUUUUUCUCUAUUUUCUGGGCUCACAAUUUGAUAUGCAACCAAUCAUCAAAGAACAAUAAAUGUUAACAUUGUCUAAGAGACCUCUAGAAAUAGAAGGUGUACCAGACAAUGUCUAUUAAUUUUUUUUGACAUAUCAGCUCGACAUCCUAAAUAGAUAUUAGCAUUGAAGAGAAUUUUUCAAAAAGUUUUUCAUUUUUCUGAUGUGGCAAUUAAAUAAGAGCAAUCCACGUUUGUAUUGCAGAUUCUCUAACUUAACUCAAGAAUCUACAGAUUGUUAAGUGUUGGUUGCUUUUCAAAACCUGAACAAAGAAUUAUAAUUAUGAGUAAUAUAAUAUAAUAAUCGUUAUCUUCAUUUAAAGCCGGCCUCGUUUAUACUCGAGGGGUGAAAUGAGAUAGUAGAAAUCCCUUCUCCCUUAACUAGAUGUCUCGAGUUCGAACCCUGGAUAUAGAGUCCCUUUAAACACUUGGAGGGAGUGCUAUGCCCCUUUUGUAGCCCGCGUGAACUCGAAUGAGUCGAAUCAGAAGAUUUCAGAUAUCGGAUGGCUAAAACUAGAAAAGCUAGCAUCGUUUAUUGAUUUGCAAAUGAUUAUAAUUAAUUGUAUAAUAAAAUAAAUAGAUAGAUACCUUUAUUCUUGAUCCAUCCAGCUAUGUUGUUGGAACCUAAAUCGAGAACUUUCAAUUUAUGAAAGGGAAGAAAUAAAGAAGCAUUUAGAUACCACUCUUCUGAAUUAGAAUCUUGUAAGCCGUCAAGAUGGAGUUCAUCAACUUCCCCAGUAUUAUGAUUGCACUCAACACUUUCCCAAUUACAGCAAUUCUCAACACUUCCCCAAGCCGCCAUGGGGCUAUUAUCAGAAUGUCUGAAGGAAGACUUGAGUUGCAAGAGAGCAAUUUUCUCAUGCUUCAAACAACCAUUACAACUACUACUUUGUAAUAAUAAACUCGUAAUCAUCAGCAACAUCCAACUCUUUCCAAUCAACACCAUUUUCAUAUUUGUGUAAUGAAUCGGAUGUUCUUGAUGCUUUUGUCUUUUAUAGCGACAUGGCAAAUUAAUUUAAUGGACCAAUGUUAGAAAAUAUAUAAUAUAGAAGUAUGAUAAAUAAGUGCGCAUAGACCUACCCAUCUUGUGGAAAAUAAAUUUUUGAUUCAACGAACGAAGAACGUGCAAGACGGGAUUGAAAGACUUCAUGGAAGUGUUGACAAUAAUUAGCUUGAAUUAGACGGCAAAGAAGAGGACCAAAAUAUUAGAUAUACAAUAAAUUUAUGACAUUGAACAUGAAAUUCAUCAUAAUCACUAAAGAAAUUAAUGUCAUCUUUUCAUAAGAAUAAAAAAAAAUGAUUAAAAUACAAUGAUUUUUUAAAGAUAUAUAGUAGAAUGUCUAAAUUGAUUUUUUUUUAAAUUAAAAGCUCUUCUUUUAAUUUGGCUACAAAACACUUAAUAAAUAUGGAUAAAAUUGAAAAAAAAAAUAAUAUGCUCUCAAAAUUCUAAAUGAAUACUUAAAAUAGAACAAGGUAAAAUACCAUAUUUAUUGCUAUUAAAUUGGAACAGAAGAGUAACAAAUAAUGACAUAAUAAAAACUCUCAUUUUUUGUUUGUCCCAAAUUAGUUAAUAUGUUAAAUCUUUAUUUUUUUAUAUAUAUUUUCAUAAGGAGGUCUAAUAAGUUGGAAUGAUACUAAGGGCAACAGGGGAUAACUCUCUCUUUAACUCACUAAAUUAGUGAAAACUCUUAUGGUCGAGAUGACUCGAUCUCGAAAUUUCUUACGUAAAUGAGAAGACCAACUAAACCACAAUUGGUUGGCUUCCAAUGCGAUUAUUGAUUCACAAUCACUUUGAAAAUUGAAAAUUGAAAAUGUAAGUAUUUACAAAGUUUAACUAUUUUCGGUGCAUAUUCAUGACCUUAGAUAAUUAAUUAAUUUUAAUUAAUGUAAAAAGUCAAUAAUAGUGUAAGAGUGAACAGAAUAAUAUAAGGAUAUAUUGAUUUGUCAAAAAUUACAAUCAUAUCUAUUUAAUAUCCUAUUUAUACGAGCUAACGCCUGUCUAAUUACUAUUAUAUCCUAACAAUUAUGUCAUAUCCAAUGCACAUAAAGAAGAUUUAAAAUCGAAAAAUGAAAAGUUAAGGAAACUACUUGCUCGCCAGACUAUUUGUAAGGCCGUACUGAAUUUGGGUCAUCAAGUGAACAUUUUCUGAGCUCAUUUUUCAACCCAUGGUUCACCGCAAUCUGGGCUGUCUUGGGCCAUUGUGUACAUGACCUGAGACCGAGAGACAACACGUGAUCCCCACAUGUAGCUGUAACUACUCAUACAGUGCAUUCAAUAACUGAAACCUGGUAGACCCAGCCCAAAACACAGAGAAAAAACGUUUCAGAUUACCACUUCAUUUCAUUUAGCACAAUGGCCUAAUCCUCUUCAUUGGACUCAGACUUGUAUAUCCAAUUGCCAUUUUCUUUUUUUCAAAUACCCUUCGUUUUUUUUUUUUUUUUUUUCUCUUUUUUUUCCGUGCAAGACCUUACAAUUCUACGGAGAAGGCCUCGUAAUAUUUUAAAGUUUGUUCAACCAUAGUUCAUAUAUGCACACCUUUUCACUCUUGCAGUCAUCCGAUGUGAGGUUUCCCUAUAUUAAUACAUGCUAUUAGCUUUUUCAAUAACAUAAUUAACCAUUAUCAUUUAAUUUAAUAAGGAUUCUCUGUACAAAUAUACUUAUGUUGUGUUCUAUAUAGAAGCCUAGUGGUAAGCUCCCAUGGAAUAGAAGUGUUCGUAACUCAAUAAUCAAAAUCACAGUAUAUUAAAAUAACUUCGCUAAUGGAAUAUAUAGUAUGUACAAAAAUCAUUCCUAGCCCUAAAAAACUGCAGCAUUUCUGUAUUGCUGUUCAACUUUUUAUCAGUGUUUUUUUAUUAUCCUACAACUUCCCUUUUCUUUUCUUUUCUCUCUCUAGAGCUGAAGAGUACAUAUUUUUAUUUAAUUAAUUAGUUAUGUAUGGGAGGCUUUCUUUUUGCUGGAGAAUAAUCCAUAAUGUCCACAUAGUUAUCUUCGUGGGUCAUCUUCUGUUGCUCAGAAGUUGGCGAAGAUGAAUUAAUGGUGAACUUCUCAUGUUCCCCACCUACUUCUCCAUUUCCUGAUCUUGAUCCCUUUGGUAUUGNNNNNNNNNNNNNNNNNNNNNNNNNNNNNNNNNNNNNNNNNNNNNNNNNNNNNNNNNNNNNNNNNNNNNNNNNNNNNNNNNNNNNNNNNNNNNNNNNNNNNNNNNNNNNNNNNNNNNNNNNNNNNNNNNNNNNNNNNNNNNNNNNNNNNNNNNUAAAGAAAUUUAACUUCUUUUUUUUUUUUUUGUUUAAAAAAAUAGAAAUUUAUUUUUUACUAUAUAGUAAUUAGUAACCAACCUUAGUGGUGGUGGUGGUGGUGAAAAUAGUAGAUGUGGUCACAGUAGCAAGUUUUCUACUGCUCAUUCCUGCAACAAUAAAUAUCAAGAAUCAUUUAGACUAUGCAAGAAAUUAAUAUUUGAAUUUCUUAAUAAAUUGAUAUUUUAUUUUAUUUUUCCUCAAGAAAUUACUAAUGAUUAAAGAAUUUGUAGUUUCAUCAGUUUCUCUGGGGAAAAUCUUGCUUUUGAGUUCAGUACAUGGUCAUGGGUUUAAAUCUUUCUAAAACCCUACUGCAACUGCAGCUCCUAUGUCAGAGACCAGCUUAAAAAAACGAACUACUAGUGAUCAAUUAAUAAUUAACCAUUCUAGCUAGGUAAAGUAAUGAAAAGCUAAUUAAUGGUGCUUAGGUUUAUGAAGCCUACGUAAUAAAUAUAAAAGUGAAGAAUGAAUAUUGUGUCUCUUAUUCCCAGUAAACAAGCAUUUAAAUACAAAGAGAAUAAACUGAAUUCCUUAGCAGUAGGAAUCAGUAACAAACUAAUCCUAUCAUAACAACUCAAUCUCAACAUAAUUAAAAACAAAUAAUACAAAGUCAAAGAUAUGGGAAGAGGUACAGAUAUACUGCUAAUACUAGGUCCAUAAUAAUCUUCAUGAACUCUUGGUAACCAAUGAGGUGAUGAUUUCUUGGAUACUUUAGUAACUCUUUUCUUCAAGGUACCUGUGCAUUGUCCUUCUUUGCAGAGAAUAACAUCUCCAAAACCACCAUUUUUGUUACUUCUUUCUAUUAAUGAAGUACUCUUCUUCUCCUCCUGCAUAAAUCAAGAAUAUUCAUUUAAUUUCGCAUCAAAAUUGGAAAAAAAAAGAUAUUUAUAUUAUAUAAAGAAAACAGAAGCAUGAACACUCACAUGAAUCUUUUGCUGCGCCACUUGCAUAAAUUCCUUUUCCAAGCGAAUUGCUACAGCAAAAGAAUAAAACAUGUUAGAAAGAUUUAUAAAUUUUGCAAGUUCAUAAGAUAAAUAAGUUUAGCAAUCAUAUAUAUAUAUAUAUAAAUAUACCUUUAGCCUCAUGAAGAAGAAAGGACAAAAGAAGAAGAGAAACAACUAAAGAAGGCCUCAUUUGGAGAUCACGAUACUCAGCCUCCGUGGAGGACCUCACAAUUGUUGUUUGCUUUUUAGAAGACCAACUAAUCGGAUUAUUUCCAAAGAAUUGAAUGUAGCCAGUGGUUGAGACACGAUCAUUAAUAUCGUCGGCCCAAUCUGCGUCAGAAUACAUGUGAAGUGACAGAGAUUUGCUUUUCUUCAGACAAAGGCCAUAGCGAAGAGUACCAUUAAGAUAUCUUAGAACCCGUUUGACAGCUUUCCAAUGAAUAGUAGAUGGAGCAUGCAUAAACUGGGAAAGCUUGUUCACUGCAAAGCAAAUAUCGGGACGGGUAAAACUAAGAUAUUGAAGUUUACCAACAACUUGUCGAUAUUUAGUGGCAUCAACAGGCAAGGAACCAUCAGAAACUGAAAGAACUGCAGAGGAGCUCAUAGGAGUAGCAGCUGGUUUGGAUUCCUGCAUGUUGGUUGUGUGAAGUAGAUUAGCAAUAUAAAGCUCACCUCACCAAUCAUCAGAAACAAAGAAAGCAAAACGAAAUAUCCAGCUGAAAACCUAAUUUAGAGAAUGAAACCAUUAAAGAGAAUUCCAAAAAAAAAAAAGAAAAAAAGCAAAUAGUCGGAAUUACCUGUGAUUAGAAAAACAAAUUCGCUUCAAGGAGAUUUCGGAGACAGAGGAGGGAGAGAGUUAUGCCGAUAAUGGUAUGGAUAGCGAAGAGAUACGGAAAUUUACUGUGCGCCCUCUCUCCCUCUCCGUAUUUGGCAGCUGAGAGCUGACACCUGAUGAUAAAUGACACUUGCGUAGGACGAGGAGGGAAAUGUUAAUAUGCUUCUCGACACCAUUUUCAUCUACAAGGUGAUUUUUGGAUUUAUAAUUUAAGAUUAAGAAAUAAUUAUCUUUUNNNNNNNNNNNNNNNNNNNNNNNNNNNNNNNNNNNNNNNNNNNNNNNNNNNNNNNNNNNNNNNNNNNNNNNNNNNNNNNNNNNNNNNNNNNNNAUGUGCACAGUUAUAACUUAUGAUUUUUUUUUUUUAUUCCUCCAAAAAAAAAAAAAUAACUUUUGAUUUUUUAUUAAAUUAUUGAAUGUUCUUAAAUACAAUUUUAUUAGUAAUUUCUUAUUAUUUUAAUCUUUCUACAAUUUUAUUUUGAUUUAUUGCUCUGUUAGUCUAGUAUUUGUGCUUGUCAUUUUUUCACAUGAAAAGUAUAAUUAAAACAAAUAUUAGGUGAAUUCUUAGUAUAAAACUUUAAUUUUAAAAAGUUUCUUCCAAUUAUAUUUAUUUUAAAGUUACAUUUAAAUUUUUUUAUAAUAUUUCAAUCAUAAUUAAAUUCAACUAAUCAAAAUUAUAUUAUAAAUGUUUUGGCAGUAUUCAAAACUAUAUUAAAACAUUUUUAUGUAUUGUUCAAAUCAUGAUUAAGUUUUAUUGCAUUUAAAGCUAUUUAGUGAAUUGUAAUUUAAAAGUUAUAUUUAAAAUAAAUAUAAAAUACAUUAUGAAACUCUCAUUAUAAAAAACAUCUUCCAGCUAUAUUUAAAAUGUUUUUAUAUAUCAUAAAUUAUAUAACCAUUUAUCACGUUUAUAAAGAGCCUUAUUAGAAAAAAUAUUUAUUUAAAUUAAUUUCAAAUGAUUUGAAUUAAAAUGAGAUAUUUUAUUAAUUAUUAUUAAUUAUUAAUGAUUUCAAAAUGAUAAAUAUAUUAAUGAUAUAUUGACUAUUAUUAUUAAUUUUAUCCUAAUUGAUACAUUUUAAUUAUUUUAUAAUUUUAGUUUAUUUUCAAUAAUAUUUAUGAUACUAUUAACUCAUGAAUCAGUAAAAGCAACUGAAAUGUUUUAUUAUUUAUUAAAGACUAAAGUUGAAACGUUUUCAAAGUAUCAACAUUAUUUUUAAUUCAUUAAUUACUAAAACUUAUUAAUGAUAUUAAUUUCAAUCCACCAAUAUCUAUAAAUGGUAAUAAAAAAUGAAUUUUGACUAAACAAAUAAAUAUUUUAGAAUUUCGCGACGUCAGCAAAAAUGCUUUAAAUUUUAUAUAUUUAUUACACAUAUAGAUAUAAAUAUUAUGAGAAAAAUAAUUAUAUAUAUUAAAUUUGAUAAUACAAUAGGAGAAAACACAUCAGAUUGAAUAAUUGCAUUUUAUUUAAAAUUUUUGUACUAUUUAGUAUAAUUCAUGUACUGGUUCAUAAUCCAUGGAUUUACAUAUUUAAUGGAUUCAAUUAGAUUAAAAAGUUAUAUAUACGCCAACCCGUCAUGGGUACUUUAAAUUAAUAAGCUUGAUUCAACUUUACACAUGUGCAACCUAAUAAUUACAUCAUAAUUUCAAAUAUUUUAUAUAUUUUGCAAUUUAAUAUUUCAAUUGCCGGAUGUUUAAUAAAUUUAAACUUAAGAAAUUGAUUUUUUCAGAAACAAAAAUUGAAAUUGUUAAUCCUCAAUGAAUCACUGAGUAAAAAGAUUGCUAUUGAUUGCAUAAAUUUAAAUGGCAUGCGAUAAAACUUCUGUUUGUAUCCUGAAUAAAUAAUAAAUGACGGAGCUAUAUAUAAUAUAAAAAAAUAAUUAAUUUAAAAUAAAUUGUAAGUAACAGAAAUAAAUAAAAUGCUAUAGCAGAUGACGAAGUCUUUUAUCUUUUUUUUUUUUUUUUGGGAGAAUAUUACACAUAAAUUAACAUUUAUAAAUAAUAUAAGUAUUUGGAUUUAUAUUUCCUAAAUAACAAAAUAUAAAAACACAAUUAUAAUAUCAAAAUUCAAUAUUUUAUUUUAAAUAAUUGUUUAUUUAAACAAAAUACAAAGAAAUUUAAAAAAUCAUUUCAUGAAUUAUUUUGCCCCGUUAACAUUCGAGGGGAUGUUAGGUUAAAUUAAACUAUUUUAUUUAUUCUUAAGUUGGGCCUGCAAUUAUAUCAUAUGAUGAUGAUGAAGCAUCUAUUAAAUUGGCAGUCUAAUGGGCUAAAUGGUUAAGUUGGGCUUUUCUGGUGGCCCAAUAAUACAAAUUAAAAAAUAAUAAUAUUUUGAAAAAUAUUUAUUAUUAUUCUCUUUUGAUUGCAAUAUAACAUUAGCAAAUUAAAUAAUCAUACAAAUAUUUCCAAUUUCAAUAGGAGAUUGAUUCGAGAAAUCCAAAUCAUAAUACAAGACAAAUUUAUUAUGACAGAGGGAGAUAGCUCAAAACUGAAAUUAUUAGAAAAUAAUUAUUUUUGGACAAAUAAACUUCAGUUUAUCUGUCGAACACUAAAAUUGACUGUGCAGUAUAUACAAUUUGUUUGACAGAUGAAAGCCCUUUAAGGAAUGGUAGGAUCUUGUUAUUAAAGAGAUUACAGAUCAGGUUAAGAUGCAACUAAUAUUUUCUAACACACUUAAAACUGAUAAUUCACUUUAUUACAUUCAUUAUUCAUUAUAAGAGUUACAACAUGAAUUAUGAAAUACUGAAAAUGCAUAAACUCAAUAGUAUCUGACAAGACACAAUAUUAUGAAACUCCAAACUUGGACAAUAAAGAAAUAUUGUCGACAAAAAAAUAGUAGCAAUUGGUGGUAGUCAAUUCUAUAUAGUAGAACCAUACUCGACGCCAAUAUGGAUUUAUAUACAAAAUUGCAACUAUUCCCAAUAAUACUAUGAUGUAAGAUACCACAAAACUCACAUAGAAAACACCCAUGUCGAUGAAGCCAUUUUCUUCUUUUUCAUCCGUUGAAGUUGUUGGCAUCAGUGGCGGAGAUGUGGUUGUAUCGCAAGGCUUUGGAAGAGGUAAUCCACAGAGGAAAGAAUUUCCCUCAUAACUGCCUUGUUCAAAUGUUGCAAAUUGACCAACCCUCUCAGGUGUCUUGCCAGAUAAAUUGUUAUGUGCUACACUAAAAAUUGCUAAAAAAUAUAAUUGAGUAAGCUGAGAGGGAAUUUUUCCUUCCAAAUUAUUAUAAGAAAGAUCUAAACUCUCGAUUUGCCUCAAAUUUGAAAAUGUUUGUGGAAUUGGUCCAGUCAAAAUGUUAUGAGACAAAUUCAACACUUGGAUUUCACUAAGAUUUUCAAUUUCAGGUGGAAUUUCUCCUGAAAAUUUGUUACAAGAGAAAUCAAUGCCUGAAAGAUAUAGGAGGGUUUCCCAUUGGUAAGAAUAAGUUGCAUUUUUAUUUGUAAAUUCUAAAGGUUGCAUAGGUGAUGGGUAAGGAGGUUGAAGUUCAGGCUCUCUAGACCAAUCACUAUGCAAUGUCAGACAUGGGAGAAUAUGACCAAAAAGAUUAUUAUGAGAAAAAUCAAUCAAACUUAGUUCUUGUAACCCACAUAAUUUAAUUGGAAGUUCACCAAUAAAAUUAUUAUGACUUAACAAAAUAUAGCUCAACGUAGAAAUGUUGACAAUCCAUGUUGGAAUAUUUCCUAUCAACUUAUUAUGGCUUAUGUCUAACCCCUUCAACCUAUAACAAUCACUAAAAACAUUUCUGAGAGAUCCUUGCAGCUUAUUUUUUGCCAAAUAAAUUUCUCUUAGGUAAGAAUUAGGGCAAAAAUUGGAUGGUAAGCUUCCAGAGAUACUAUUGAGUGAAAGAUCUAAAAUUUCAAGAGAAGACAUAUUUCCUAUCCAUUUUGGGAUAUUUCCAAAGAGAUGGUUACCACUCACAUCAAAUAUUGUCAAACUAGUACAGUUAGACAAACUAUUUGGUAUACUUGUGCUCAAUCGAUUACCAUCCAGAAGUAAUUUUUCCAAAUAUUCCAAGUUAGCACUCUCAGGAAAUAUCUGUCCUUGCAAAGAAUUAUCUGAAAGUAUAAGUUCAUCUAAUGAGAUACAACCCAUGAUCAACUGCUCUGGUAUACUACCUGAUAAAUUAUUGUCGGAUAAGUCUAAUUUUGUCAAUAAGCUCAUAUUUCCGAGUGAAGAGGGAAUGUUUCCAUUCAAACCAUUUCUUCUCAUGUUUAAAUCUCUCAGCUUUGGAAAAUAUAUUCCCAUUUUUUUUGGAAGGUACCCAUACAAGCAAUUAUCAGAGACAUCCAGUAUUGAUAAAUUCAAAAGAGAAUGAGUAGGUAACUGAAAAGACCCAGAAAGAGAAUUAUUGGCUAAAUGAAGUUGCUCUAGUUUUGUAUUAUUCUCUAACAACCAAUUUGGAAAAUUCCCUUGAAUUCUAUUGUGUGAGAGAUCAACUACUUGUAGGUUAUACUGAUGAUGGAGGAACCCGGGAAGCUUUCCACUACCAUAUAAAUGAUAGCUAGAUAAUUUGAGAAUGUCUAGUUGAAACUUUGGAGUCAAAUUAUGAUCAUCCAUUGCCACAUAUAUUUUAUUAUCUUGACAAUCCAAAUAAUUGAGCUUUGAAUGGUUGAAAAAUGGAGAGAGCGAGAUUGGGAUUUGAAAGAGAUUUCCAAAGAGGUUUAUGUGUUCAAGGGAUGUUAAACUCCUAAGAGGAGAUAAAGCAACAUCUCCUAUAAAAUUAUUAUAAGAGAGAUCUAAUAGUUUAAGGGAUGUCAAAUUUGCUAGACACCAUGGCAAGCUACCAUUGAAUUGAUUUCCGCUUAAGUCUAGUUGCUGCAGAUACUUUAAUUCACAAAGACCUGAAAGUUAUAAAUUUAUAAUAAAAAUAAAGAUUUAAUUAGCUAAAAUCUCUAACUUUUUGAAAGAGAUGAUACAACAUAGAGAGGGGAUUUUCUCAAAUAUACCUCUGUCGGUAGGUAUGGAUCCAGUGAGUUCACAAUAUUGCAAUGAUAUAGUUUUAAGAUUCCUCAUCAUUCCAAUGCUUUGUAGAUGAAAGCCACUCUCGAUAGUAGAAUAACUUAAGUCCAAAUGCUCUAAGUUUUUGAAAUUAAGCAAGUCUAUCAAAAUACCAAAAAAGUAAAGCGUGUGAAAUAAUUGAAAUAAACAGAAGAGUAAUUGCCAACAAGCUAAUUUACAGUAUAAGUUAACUUAAUUACCUUGACCAAAUGAUGUUGCAUUGAAAAUUUCGCAAAAGCGUAGAGAUAGGGCUUUGAGAUAGGGGAAUUUCCCCAAGGAUUCUACAAGAUGGCUUCUUCCAUCUAUGGUGAUAGAAUCUAGAAGGAGACUUAAGUUGCUUAGACUUCUUUUAUCUGCAAGCGAGAAUAGAAUCUAUGUAUGUCAAUAAUUACCAAAACACAUAUUAAUCAAGAUUGUAAGCGCACCUGGUGAGUCCACAAAUUUUGUAAUGUUGUUAUUUCCACUCAAGUCCAGCUCCUCUAAGCUUUUUAAGGUUCGUAGUUCUGAUUAGGAAAAAAAAAAAAAAGACUAAUUAGAUCAUUUAAUUAUACACAAUUUUCUAUUCAAAUUAUUUUAAACUGAAUCAUAAUGAGAGGGAAAAUAAACUUAUUUAACCUUUGAAAUUGAAUGGUCCUUCGAAUUGAUUGAUGCUUAUGUCCAGACUUUUGAGAGAUGAGAGCCCUUUGAGGAAUGAUAGAUUACUGUUAUUAAAGAGAUUUCCUCUUAAGCUAAGGCGCUCCAGAUUCCUCAACUUCAGCAAUUCUUCAUCACCGACAUAUAUACAAUAUUUUUUUAACUUAUUUAAUUAAGCAAUCAAAACAAUUGCACGCCAAGAUAUAAUGUAGUCGUAAAUACAUUGAAAUUCUAUUAUGAUAAUUGCACUGACUUGACAAUAAAUUCAGGUUCGAAUCUCAUUUUCCAAUACUAAAAAAAAGCAAUCAAAAUAAUUAAUGAAUGCAAUGAAAAAUCAAUUCAUAUCAAGCAAAUAUUUAAAGCCUUCAAUUUGGUUGCCUCCCAUAUUCAACUCCUGUAAAUUCUUCAAAUUAUUCAAUUUUGCACAUAUACAUAUGAUUUUUCCUUUGUUUAAUAGCUGAUACACAAAAAUAGAAUGAGUUUAGCUAUAAAUACAUAUAUGAUGACUUAGGUAAAAAUUUCAAAUUGAUUUUUCCAAAGAAAAUAAAAAUAAAAAGAGUGAAGUGAAAGCUGACCUUUAAUAUCAAUAAUUCCUUUGAGAUUGUUGCUAUACAAAUUUAAAAAUUUUAAAGAUGAAAGACCACCUAGACAUUUUAGACUGAUGCUGUUGAACAUAUUAUAAGAGCAUCUCCAAUGUUAACGUGGAUUGUGGCUCGAUGUGUCAUAUGAAAUAGAAUGUGUAAAUAAUGAUGUGGUUGAAUGUCUACUUAUAGACAAUGAAUUUUAAAAAACUCUGCCCAAUACAUUAGUUUUGAAUUUUCUUUCAUUCUCUUUUUUCUCUAUUUUCUGGGCUCACAAUUUGAUAUGCAACCAAUCACCAAAGAACAAUAAAUGUUAACAUUGUCUAAGAGACCUCUAGAAAUAGAAGGUGUACCAGACAAUGUCUAUUAAUUUUUUUUGACAUAUCAGCUCGACAUCCUAAAUAGAUAUUAGCAUUGAAGAUAAUUUUUCAAAAAGUUUUUCCAUUUUUCUGAUGUGGCAAUUAAAUAAGAGCAAUCCAUGUUUGUAUUGGAGAUGCUCUAACUUAACUCAAGAAUCUACAGAUUGUUAAGUGUUGGUUGCUUUUCAAAACCUGAAUAAAGAAUUAUAAUUAUGAGUAAUAUAAUUUAAUAAUCGUUAUCUUCAUUUAAAGCUGGCCUCGUUUAUACUCGAGGGGUGAAAUGGGAUAGCAGAGAUCCCGUCUCCCUUAACUAGAUGUCUCGAGUUUGAACCCUGGAUAUAGAGUCCCUUUAAACACUUGGAGGGAGUGAUGUGCCCCUUUUGUAGUCCGGCGUGAACCCGAAUGAGUCGAAUCAGAAGAUUUCAGAUAUCGGAUGGCUAAAACUAGAAAAGCUAGCAUCGUUUAUUGAUUUGCAAAUGAUUAUAAUUAAUUGUAUAAUAAAAUAAAUAGAUAGAUACCUUUAUUCUUGAUCCAUCCAGCUAUGUUGUUGGAACCUAAAUCGAGAACUUUCAAUUUAUGAAAGGGAAGAAAUAAAGAAGCAUUUAGAUACCACUCUUCUGAAUUAGAAUAUUGUACGCCGUAAAGAUCGAGUUCAUCAACUUCCCCAGUAUUAUGAUUGCACUCAACUCUUGUCCAAUUACAACAAUUCUCAACACUUCCCCAAGCCGCCAUGGGGCUAUUAUCAGAAUGUCUGAAGGAAGACUUGAGUUGCAAGAGAGCAAUUUUCUCAUGCUUCAAACAACCAUUACAACUACUACUUUGUAAUAAUAAACUCGUAAUCAUCAGCAACAUCCAACUCUUUCCAAUCAAUACCAUUUUCAUAUUUGUGUAAUGAAUCAGAUGUUCUUGAUGCAUUUGUCUUUUAUAGGGACAUGGCAAAUUAAUUUAAUGGACCAAUGUUAGAAAAUAUAUAAUAUAGAAGUAUGGAAAAUAAGUGUGCAUAGACCCAUCUUGUGGAAAAUAAAUUGUAUGGAAAAUAAGUGUGCAUAGACCCAUCUUGUGGAAAAUAAGUGUGCGUAGACCCAUCUUGUGGAAAAUAAAUUAUUGAAAGCGCGUUAGAGUUGCUUUCAAAGAAGGUUUUUAUAAAAAUAGUUUAUCAAAUCAAAGAAUUUUAAUUUUCUCAAUAUUUAGUGUUAUAUUGUUGUCAUUAUUAUUAUAUUAUUAUAUUAUUAUUAUUAUUAUUAUUAUUAUUAAUUUUUAGGUGAAAUUUCUCAAGAUGUGUAUAUAGUCGAUAAUCUAUCUAUAAUUAUAUAUAAAAGUGGGAAUAAGGGGGGAAUAAUAAGAUUUUAUAUCACCCUUAAUAAAAUUUAAAAUGUUUUAAAGUACCCUUAAUGACGGCCAAUUAAAAAAUUACAGUUUAUUCGUUAAUUGGAUAUAAUUUAUAGAAAUUAUUUUUUCAGUCAAUCAUGUGCGGCCGAUUAUCUUCUCACUUAUGUGAGGAGUGAGAUGUCUCGAGUUCAAAUCCUCUCGACCAUAAGUGUUUUCACAAAUUUCAUUAUUGUAUAGCCCACAGUGUUCUUUCCACCUAUUAUGUCUCCUAAUGAAUAAAAAAAUUAUUUUUAAAAUAAAUAUAUAUAAAUAAUUAAGCAUUUUAAAAUUUUAAGUUUUAUCUUUAUUAAAUUUAGUUUUUAAUGAAUAUAUACGAUAAUGAGAUAUUUAAAAAUUUUUUUAUAUUUUAUUUAUUAAAUAUUUAAUUAUUUUAGGAUAUAUAUAUAUAUAUAUAUAUUUAAAGAAAGAAAAUUUUCUUUGUGUUUGUAUGAUAUGUUUGAAUUUUAUUUAAAAAAAUAAAUUUUCAAAUAGAAUAAAUAUAAUAUUUUAUUUAGGAGAGAGAUCAAAAAAGAAAAAAUUAUAUUAUUUUUAUUAAUGUUUUUGUUUUUUAAUGUUUGUAAAGUUUGAUUGGAUAAAUUUUUUAAAAAGUAAAUUUUCAAAUAGAACUUACAUAAUUAAAUCUGGAUAGUAGACGGUUGAAAUUUUUAAUUUUAAAAAAUAAUAUUUUAUUGAUAUAUUUUAUAUAUCUAUAUACAUUAAAAUAUUUUUUUAUUAGGUGAAUUUACCAAUUUGAUUGUAGUGUAGUCCACAGUAUUAUUUUGUCCAUCAAACCUCCUAAUGAAUCAAAAAAAUAAUUUUUUUGAUAAUGAGACAUUUGAAAAUUUUUUAUAUUUUAUUUAUUAAAUAUUUAAUUCUUUUAAGAUAUAGAUAAAAAAAAGAAAACAAAAUUUUUUUAUUAAUAUUUUUUUGUUUAUAUGAUAUGAUUGGAUAUAUUAUUAAAAAAUAAAUUUUCAAAUAGAAAAUAUAUAAUAUAAUAUUUUCUUUAGGAGAGAGAUAAAAAAGAAGAAAAAGUAUAUUAUUUUUAUUCUUUAUGUUUGUCAUAUUUGAAUAGAUAUAUUUUUUAAAAAUUAAAUUUUCAAAUAGAAUUUACAUAAUUAAAUAUGGGAUGGUAAACAAUUGAACCUUUAAUUUUAAAAAUAUAUAUAAUAUUUUANNNNNNNNNNNNNNNNNNNNNNNNNNNNNNNNNNNNNNNNNNNNNNNNNNNNNNNNNNNNNNNNNNNNNNUUAAUAAUAAUUUUUUAUUUUCUUUUUCGUUACUGAAUAAUUUGUAACUACUAUAAUUUUAAUUUAGUAAGAGAUUUGUAUCUUCCCUACAAUAAAUAGAUGGCCUGGUUAAAUAAUUUUAAUUUUUUUUGACAUUUUCUUCUCUUAUAUCCUAAAUCUGUUUGACUUAAAAGAAGAUAGUGUUUAGAAAACUGGAAAAAAUUAGAACUAUAUAUUUUUAUUUUGGAUCAUUUUUUGGAUUUCAAGAGUUUGUGUGUUUGUUCAUUUAUUCCUUUCUCUAAUGCAUUAGGUAAGUAAUAGUAUCACUGUAGUCAAAAUGAUUAUCAUUAUUAAUUAAGAUAAUUUUUUUAUUUCUUUUCUUUUACCUACCAAUAAAAAAAAUUUAUUAUUAUUUUUCAUUAUAACUAUAUAUAGAUAUUGAUUUGCGAUUGAGGGUAAGGGUUGAAGGCUGAGUGAAAACUUGAUUUUCUUUCUGAGCACUUAUUAGAGUUUUAAGAAUCUGUUUUCAUAAAUUAGGAACUGAAUGAUUAGGUAUAAGGAUUAGAUUAAACUUUAUUUUGAGAUCAUUUUAUUAAAUAAAAUAGAAUCAAGUGCAUAAGAAAUAAUUUUUGCAAGUAGCUUAUACGUCAUAGUUUAAUACAAGUUAACCAAUUGUAUUUAUUAUAAUCUAACAAAAAACUUAUGUUUUAAUAUUAUACAAAUAAAAAAUUAAAAGAGUAUAAAAAAUGAAAAUAUAACGAGAAUUGUUAAUAUGCAACGUACGUUAUAAAAAAUAAUAGUAUCUAUAAAUGUGGGAAUGGAGAGGAAAAUAAUAAGAUGGAGAUAAAAAUAUCUUUAGUAAUUUAUUAUUAUGACAAUAAAGGAUAAACAUUUUAAAAAACACAGAUAUUAAUUUAAUUAGAAAUUCUAAUAUUUUUAUGUAAAAAAAAAAGAAAUCAUUUGAACUGAUUAGGAAUAUUUGAAUUCAAUUAAAAAUUCUAAUUUUUAUUUUAUAUAUAUAUUCACGUUUAUCUAACUAAUUUUAGAAAUAUUUUUGUUUUUGAAAUUCAGAUCUCGUAAUAUAAUUUUUGAUUCAACGAACGGAGAACGUGCAAGACGGGAUUGCAAGACUUCAUGGAAGUGUUGACAAUAAUUAGCUUGAAUUAGACGGCAAAGAAGAGGACCGAAAUAUUAGAUAUGCAAUAAAUUUAUGACAUUGAACAUGAAAUUCAUCAUAAUCACUAAAGAAAUUAAUGUCAUCUUUUCAUAGGAAUAAAAAAAAAUGAUUAAACUACAAUGAUUUUUUAAAGAUAUACAAUAGAAUGUCUAAAUUGGUUUUUUUAAAUUAAAAGCUCUUCUUUUAAUUUGGCUACAAAACACCUAAUAAAUAUGGAUAAAAUUGAAAAAAAAAAUUAAUAUGCUCUCAAAAUUCUAAAUGAACACUUAAAGUAGAACAAGGUAAAAUACCAUAUUUAUUGCUAUUAAAUUGGAACACAAGAGUAACAAAUAAUGAAAUAAUAAAUACUCUCAUUUUUCGUUUGUCCCAAAUUAGUUAAUAUGUUAAAUCUUUAUUUUUUUUUAUAUAUAUUUUCAUAAGGAGGUCUAAUACGUUGAAAUGAUACUACGGGCAAUAGGGGAUAGCCCUCUCCUUAACUCACUAAAUUGAUGAAAACUCUUAUGGUCGAGAUGACUCGAAUUCGAGAUUUCUCACAUAAAUGAGAAGACCAAUUAGACCACAAUUGGUUGGCUUCCAAUGCGAUUAUUGAUACACAAUCACUUUGAAAAUUGAAAAUGUAAGUAUUUACAAAGUUUAACUAUUUUCAGUGCAUAUACAUGACCUUAGAUAAUUAAUUAAUUUUAAUUAAUGUAAAAAGUCAAUAAUAGUGUAAGAGAGAACAGAAUAAUAUAAGGAUAUAUUGAUUUGUCAAAAAUUACAAUGAUAUCUAUUUAAUAGCCUAUUUAUAUGAGCUAACGCCUGUCUAAUUACUAUUAUAUCCUAACAAUUAUGUCAUAUCCAAUGCACAUAAAGAAGAUUUAAAAUCGAAAAAUGGAAAGUUAAGUAAACUACUUCCUUGCCAGACUAUUUGUAAGGCCAUACUGAAUUUGGGUCAUCAAGAGAACAUUUUCUGAGCUCAUUUUCCAAUCCAUGGCUCACCGCAAUCUGGGCUGUCUUGGGCCAUUUGUACAUCCAGACCGAGACACGGUUCACCGCAAUCUGGGCUGUCUUGGGCUAUUGUGUACAUGACCUGAGACCAAGAGACAACACAUGAUCCCCACAUGUAGCUGUAACUACUCAUACAGUGCAUUCAAUAACUGAAACCUGGUAGACCCAUCCCAAAACACAGAGAAAAAACGUUUCAGAUUACCACUUCAUUUCAUUUAGCACAAUGGCCUAAUCCUCUUCAUUGGACUCAGACUUGUAUAUCCAAUUGCCAUUUUCUUUUUNNNNNNNNNNNNNNNNNNNNNNNNNNNNNNNNNNNNNNNNNNNNNNNNNNNNNNNNNNNNNNNNNNNNNNNNNNNNNNNNNNNNNNNNNNNNNNNNNNNNNNNNNNNNNNNNNNNNNNNNNNNNNNNNNNNNNNNNNNNNNNNNNNNNNNNNNNNNNNNNNNNNNNNNNNNNNNNNNNNNNNNNNNNNNNNNNNNNNNNNNNNNNNNNNNNNNNNNNNNNNNNNNNNNNNNNNNNNNNNNNNNNNNNNNNNNNNNNNNNNNNNNNNNNNNNNNNNNNNNNNNNNNNNNNNNNNNNNNNNNNNNNNNNNNNNNNNNNNNNNNNNNNNNNNNNNNNNNNNNNNNNNNNNNNNNNNNNNNNNNNNNNNNNNNNNNNNNNNNNNNNNNNNNNNNNNNNNNNNNNNNNNNNNNNNNNNNNNNNNNNNNNNNUCUUUCUUUCUUUUUUUUUUUUUUUUUUUUUUUUCCGUGCAAGACCUUACAAUUCUACGGAGAAGGCCUCGUAAUAUUUUAAAGUUUGUUCAACCAUAGUUCAUAUAUGCACACCUCAUCACUCUUGCAGUCAUCCAAUGUGAGGUUCCCCUAUAUUAAUACAUGCUAUUAGCUUUUUCAAUAACAUAAUUAACCAUUAUCAUUUAAUUUAAUAAGGAUUCUCUGUACAAAUAUACUUAUAUAGUGUUCUAUAUAGAAGCCUAGUGGUAAGCUCCCAUGGAAUUGAAGUGUUCAUAACUCAAUAAUCAAAAUCAUAGUAUAUUAAAAUAAAUUCGCUAAUGGAAUAUAUAUAAUGUACAAAAAUCAUUCCUAGCCCUAAAAAACUGCAGCAUUUCUGUAAUGCUGUUCAACUUUUUAUCAGUGUUUUUUUAUUAUCCUAAAACUUCCCUUUUCUUUUCUUCUUCUCUCUCUAGAGCUGAAGAGUACAUAUUUUUAUUUAAUUAAUUAGUUAUGUAUGGGAGGCUUUCUUUUUGCUGGAGAAUAAACCAUAAUGUCCACAUAGUUAUCCUCGUGGGUCAUCUUCUGUUGCUCAGAAGUUGGCGAAGAUGAAUUAAUGGUGAACUUCUCAUGUUCCCCACCUACUUCUUCAUUUCCUGAUCUUGAUCCCUUUGGUAUUGGUAUGGUUGUACUAUCUGCUUUAUUCCCUCCAUUUUCCUCUUUCUGUACAAUAACCAGAUAAAUUAAGCUGGAGCUUUUGACAUAAAAAAGGUAGCAGAUGAGUAGCCACCUCCAAGUACUCUUCUGCUACCUCUCCUAGGUCAAACCUAAUAAAAGAAAUUUAAAUUCUUUUUUUUUUUUUGUUUAAAAAAAUAGAAAUUUAUUUUUUACUAUAUAGUAAUUAGUAACCAACCUUAGUGGUGGUGGUGGUGGUGAAAAUAGUAGAUGUGCUCACAGUAGCAAGUUUUCUACUGCUCAUUCCUGCAACAAUAAAUAUCAAGAAUCAUUUAGACAAUGCAAGAAAUUAAUAUUUGAAUUUCUUAAUAAAUUGAUUUUUUAUUUUAUUUUUCCUCAAGAAAUUACUAAUGAUGAAAGAAUUCGUAGUCUCAUCAGUUUCUCUGGGGAAAAUCUUUCUUUUGAGUUCAGUACAUGGUCAUGGGUUUAAAUCUUUCUAAAACCCAACUGCAACUGCAGCUCCUGUGUCAGAGACUGGCUAAAAAAAACGAACUACAAGUGAUCAAUUAAUAAUUAACCAUUCUAGCUAGGUAAAGUAAGGAAAAGCUAAUUAAUGGUGCUUAGGUUUAUGAAGCCUACGUAAUAAAUAUAAAAGUGAAGAAUGAAUAUUGUGUCUCUUAUUCCCAGUAAACAAGCAUUUAAAUACAAAGAGAAUAAACUGAAUUCCUUAGCAGUAGGAAUCAGUAACAAACUAAUCCUAUCAUAACAACUCAAUCUCAACAUAAUCAAAAACAAAUAAUACAAAGUCAAAGAUAUGGGAAGAGGUAUAGAUAUACUGCUAAUAUGCCCCCCUCAAGUUAAACAGAGAGGACCAAUGUUUAACUUGUUCAGAUGACGACAAAACGCAGCAGAUGACAAGGGCUUAGUCAAAGUAUCGGCUACUUGAUCUGCAGAAUGGACAUGUGAAACAGUAAGCAGUUUCCGAUGAACUUGAUCACGAACAUAAUGAAAAUCCACUGCUAAAUGCUUCAUACGACUGUGAAACACAGGAUUCUCACAUAAAUAAGUGACUCCUAUGUUAUCACAAUAAAUAACAGGUGNNNNNNNNNNNNNNNNNNNNNNNNNNNNNNNNNNNNNNNNNNNNNNNNNNNNNNNNNNNNNNNNNNNNNNNNNNNNNNNNNNNNNNNNNNNNNNNNNNNNNNNNNNNNNNNNNNNNNNNNNNNNNNNNNNNNNNNNNNNNNNNNNNNNNNNNNNNNNNNNNNNNNNNNNNNNNNNNNNNNNNNNNNNNNNNNNNNNNNNNNNNNNNNNNNNNNNNNNNNNNNNNNNNNNNNNNNNNNNNNNNNNNNNNNNNNNNNNNNNNNNNNNNNNNNNNNNNNNNNNNNNNNNNNNNNNNNNNNNNNNNNNNNNNNNNNNNNNNNNNNNNNNNNNNNNNNNNNNNNNNNNNNNNNNNNNNNNNNNNNNNNNNNNNNNNNNNNNNNNNNNNNNNNNNNNNNNNNNNNNNNNNNNNNNNNNNNNNNNNNNNNNNNNNNNNNNNNNNNNNNNNNNNNNNNNNNNNNNNNNNNNNNNNNNNNNNNNNNNNNNNNNNNNNNNNNNNNNNNNNNNNNNNNNNNNNNNNNNNNNNNNNNNNNNNNNNNNNNNNNNNNNNNNNNNNNNNNNNNNNNNNNNNNNNNNNNNUGAGAGGAUCAAAACAUUGAUGACAGUAAUGGCACAGUGAAAAACCUAAGUAAACACAUGGUGUAGAUCUUGGAGCUAGUUUAUUAGGAGAAUAAGGUUUUAGCCAUGGGUAACAUAAACAUCCAAAGGUUUUUAGUGACAAGUAAUCGGGUUGUCGUUGAAAUAACAUUUCAUAGGGAGAAUGAUUGGCUAAAGUGUGAGUGGGCAUUCUGUUGAUUAGAUAAACGGCAUGAUGACAUGCAAAGGACCAAAGGUUGGAUGGAAAAGAUGCUUCAUAGAGUAAUGUUCGGGCAUUUUCAAUAAUAUGGCGGGGGCGGGGGGGGGGGCGGGGGAGGGCCGGGGGAUUUCCCAGCAGCNNNNNNNNNNNNNNNNNNNNNNNNNNNNNNNNNNNNNNNNNNNNNNNNNNNNNNNNNNNNNNNNNNNNNNNNNNNNNNNNNNNNNNNNNNNNNNNNNNNNNNNNNNNNNNNNNNNNNNNNNNNNNNNNNNNNNNNNNNNNNNNNNNNNNNNNNNNNNNNNNNNNNNNNNNNGAGCCUUGAGCAUUAUACAAGGACGUGCUGUAGGAGUAACCCAUUACCUUCUGGGUGGAAUUUUGUCAAGUGGGAGAGGGACCCCAUAAAUCACUAAAAAUAGUUUGGAGAGGCUUUGAACUUGUCAAUGUAAGUUGAGAAAAUGGUUGCCUAUGAGCUUUAUUAGAAUGACAGGAAUUACAAAAAGAUAAUUUGUCUUGAACUGAAACAGAAAUAGAACAUUUAUUUAAAAUAAGAUGCAGAACUCUAUCAUGAGGAUGACCGAGUCUACAAUGCCAGGUUUCAAGAGAACUAGUGGAGGUUGCUGUGUGAGCUGUAGGGAAAGAGCAGGACAAGGGAGUCUUUGGCCACUCGUAUAAUCCAUUAUUACUCCGACCAUGCACCAACGGCUUCCUAGUUGCAAGAUCCUUGACAACAAAAUCAGAGGGAAAAAAUUCGACUGAGAUUAAAUUGUCUUGACAAAAUUUAUUAACAGAAAUUAAAUUUAUUUGAAUUUGAGGAGCACAAAUGGUAUUAGACAGCUGGAAAGCUUUGUUAGAUGCAUAUAAAUGAAUAGAACCAGUGUGUGUAAUUGGGAUUUUGUUACCAUCACCCAUUGCUACUUCUUCAAAACCAGUGUAUUCAGGCAUGUCCUGAGGAUCAGCAGUGAUAUGAUGGGUGGCACCGGAGUCGAGGACCCAUGGUUUGUCUGACAUUUGAGAGGCUGAAACAAAAUUAGCUCUGGCUUGAAGAUGAUUAUGUGAUAUGCUACGACACACAGAUGCAGUGUGACCAUAUUUGUUGCAUAAUUGACAAGUGACUCCAUUGUANNNNNNNNNNNNNNNNNNNNNNNNNNNNNNNNNNNNNNNNNNNNNNNNNNNNNNNNNNNNNNNNNNNNNNNNNNNNNNNNNNNNNNNNNNNNNNNNNNNNNNNNNNNNNNNNNNNNNNNNNNNNNNNNNNNNNNNNNNNNNNNNNNNNNNNGUACGUAGCUUGAUUAGCUACAACUGUGGGAAUAGCUGAGGAGACUGAUUUUACUUCACUUUGAAGACAAAGUUCAUGGUCUAGAAGUUUUUCACAAAGUUCUGGGUACUCAAUCGGGACACUCCUGUUGCGAAUUGCAGCUGCUACUUCUCGAUAAUUUGAGUUUAGACCACUGAGAAUUUUAACAGUAAGCUCAAGUUCCGCCAUUGGAGAACCUGCAGUAGCAAGUUCAUCGGCAAUUUCACGAAUUUUAUAAAGCUAUUCGGUGAUACUUUUGUCAUCUUUUUGUAUGCGACCGAGUUGAUCGCGCAAGCUAUAAAUGCGUGUAUGACUUUUGUUGGCAUAGGUGUUGUGAAGAAUUGUCCAUGCUNNNNNNNNNNNNNNNNNNNNNNNNNNNNNNNNNNNNNNNNNNNNNNNNNNNNNNNNNNNNNNNNNNNNNNNNNNNNNNNNNNNNNNNNNNNNNNNNNNNNNNNGUUGGGUUGAGAGGUGUUAUCUUGAGUGAUUGUUUUUGGAGGAGACGGUGUGGUGUCAUCAAGAUGACCAGCAAGGUCAUGGCCAUCAAGAAGAAGAGUUAAUUGAGUUUUCCAGGUGGAGAAAUUGGAACUGCCUUUUGUGAACCCCUCCCCAGAUAUCAAAUGCAAUGAGAUGCAUGUGACUAAGGAAGAAAUGCACGUGAUAUGUGAGUCGCCACCUUGUUUAAUUAUUUUAGGGCAAACUAAGAAAAAACCCUAAGUGACUCCAAUUUUAAUUAACCUAGUUACUAGAUUAAUUAACCCAAUGAUUAAGGCAUGGUGUGCAAACCCGAGAUGGAUCCCGAGACNNNNNNNNNNNNNNNNNNNNNNNNNNNNNNNNNNNNNNNNNNNNNNNNNNNNNNNNNNNNNNNNNNNNNNNNNNNNNNNNNNNNNNNNNNNNNNNNNNNNNNNNNNNNNNNNNNNNNNNNNNNNNNNNNNNNNNNNNNNNNNNNNNNNNNNNNNNNNNNNNNNNNNNNNNNNNNNNNNNNNNNNNNNNNNNNNNNNNNNNNNNNNNNNNNNNNNNNNNNNNNNNNNNNNNNNNNNNNNNNNNNNNNNNNNNNNNNNNNNNNNNNNNNNNNNNNNNNNNNNNNNNNNNNNNNNNNNNNNNNNNNNNNNNNNNNNNNNNNNNNNNNNNNNNNNNNNNNNNNNNNNNNNNNNNNNNNNNNNNNNNNNNNNNNNNNNNNNNNNNNNNNNNNNNNNNNNNNNNNNNNNNNNNNNNNNNNNNNNNNNNNNNNNNNNNNNNNNNNNNNNNNNNNNNNNNNNNNNNNNNNNNNNNNNNNNNNNNNNNNNNNNNNNNNNNNNNNNNNNNNNNNNNNNNNNNNNNNNNNNNNNNNNNNNNNNNNNNNNNNNNNNNNNNNNNNNNNNNNNNNNNNNNNNNNNNNNNNNNNNNNNNNNNNNNNNNNNNNNNNNNNNNNNNNNNNNNNNNNNNNNNNNNNNNNNNNNNNNNNNNNNNNNNNNNNNNNNNNNNNNNNNNNNNNNNNNNNNNNNNNNNNNNNNNNNNNNNNNNNNNNNNNNNNNNNNNNNNNNNNNNNNNNNNNNNNNNNNNNNNNNNNNNNNNNNNNNNNNNNNNNNNNNNNNNNNNNNNNNNNNNNNNNNNNNNNNNNNNNNNNNNNNNNNNNNNNNNNNNNNNNNNNNNNNNNNNNNNNNNNNNNNNNNNNNNNNNNNNNNNNNNNNNNNNNNNNNNNNNNNNNNNNNNNNNNNNNNNNNNNNNNNNNNNNNNNNNNNNNNNNNNNNNNNNNNNNNNNNNNNNNNNNNNNNNNNNNNNNNNNNNNNNNNNNNNNNNNNNNNNNNNNNNNNNNNNNNNNNNNNNNNNNNNNNNNNNNNNNNNNNNNNNNNNNNNNNNNNNNNNNNNNNNNNNNNNNNNNNNNNNNNNNNNNNNNNNNNNNNNNNNNNNNNNNNNNNNNNNNNNNNNNNNNNNNNNNNNNNNNNNNNNNNNNNNNNNNNNNNNNNNNNNNNNNNNNNNNNNNNNNNNNNNNNNNNNNNNNNNNNNNNNNNNNNNNNNNNNNNNNNNNNNNNNNNNNNNNNNNNNNNNNNNNNNNNNNNNNNNNNNNNNNNNNNNNNNNNNNNNNNNNNNNNNNNNNNNNNNNNNNNNNNNNNNNNNNNNNNNNNNNNNNNNNNNNNNNNNNNNUCGUUCCGGAGGCUUUUCCGGGAGUUCCGGACCUCCAAAAAAUAUUCCGAGACAAGUUCCGUGAUCCUCGUAAUUUUUCGGACAUUUCAAGUACCAUAUUGGCACACUUCCGGUGAACUUUUUGAAUGACCUCCGGUCCGACCGGACUGUUUGCAGUCCGGAAAAAGUGGCUCUUUGA